rnacentral:lncRNA from 1 species
AAUGCCUCUGGUUUCUUUGAGUAUGGGCUCUCCAUCCACUCCUCUGAAGUGACCAUGGAUUGCAAAUUGUGUCUUAUGUUAACCAUUCGCUUCAACGUCGUAAAAUGUGUUGCAGAGCGAGUGAUUCCCAGAUCAACUAAAUCAACUCCAAAAGUGUACCGUCUCAUCAUGUUCAGAACAACAUUAUGAUUAUACAUGAAUCUUGAUAUUGUUCUGGCUUGGUCAAGUACUGAUUUUACCCACUCAAGCCUGCUGAUGUCCUCCAGCAUCAAACUUAUGCAGUGAGCAGCACAAGGAGUCCAGAAUACAGAGGGAUAAGAAUCAGUCAGUCUUCUAGCGGCAGCAAGAUAUCGCUCCUCACUAUUAGUAAUUACUUGCAUCACAUUUCUCACACCAACUUCUUCUACCACCUCCUUAAGCAAUUCAAACAGAGAAUCCUCAGAGUUUACCAAGUUGGUUAUAUCUGCAGACCUGAAAAACAUUGUCCCUUCGGAGCUAUUUACCAAGAAACUUAAAAAAGUUUUACCUUUUUCUGAAACCCAUUCAUCUACCAAUACAGAACAUCCUGUCUUUCCCCAAGAACCUGUGUAUUGGUCAAUAUCAUUUCUAACUUCUUGAACUGCAUUCUUCAAGAUCCAGCUCCGAAGAUCAUGGUAAGAUGGUCCAACAACGCCAUCACCUUGAGAAGCAAUCGCCUCAAUCAUGGGUUGGAAAUAAACUGAAUUCACAGCGUCUAAAGGUACCCCUACGUCAAACAAAAACCGCCCUAUUGCCAUAUGGACAUGAUUAUUCACCUUUUUCGUAGCUAUAGCUGCAUUACUACAAGCAACAAUUGCAUUAGGAUUGGCAGAACUAGAUGCUUUUCUAACUCUCCCCUUCUUCUUCCUACCACUUGCUUUAUUUCCACCUCCUCCUUCCUCCCUACCCACAAAAAAAUUCGAGUCCUGUUCAAGCGUAUCUGGGACAGGAAGCAAGUUAACUUCAGUGUUUAGACCGCAAUUAUUUAUAGUCAAAGCAUCAACUUCACUAGCAUUAUCCACAUUAUAAUUGGUUAUUUCUUCAGCAAGUUUUUGCUUUUUCCUCUUUUUCAUAACAACCCCAUUCAAGCUCUCUUGCAUUAGAAGGCGAACAUCAGGCAGAACUCUCAAACAACUAGAGGCAUUACCCUUUUGCCCAGCUAGAUGUUCCUUAAUCCUAUGGAUUCCACCACCCUUAAAAAUCUUCCCACAAUACACACACUUGAGCUGAACCCUUUCACCAUUCUUAUACAUUUGACAGUGCUUCCAUGCAGGAUCAUGUUUUUGUGAUGUCACAGGUACCAGUUCCAUAUCUGAAGUCAUGUUUUAAUUUUCAUCCAAAAACAUAAUAACACAACAAUCACUAGGGCCCUUUGUACUUCAUUAAAUAUCUAUCACUCCAUAAAUGUACAUGCUCCCCUUUUCAAGAACAUCCCCAGGGGUACAACAAUAUUAAUUCUGCUAAGGUACAAAUAAUAUAUAAUCAAAUUUUUUAUGAAGAAGAGGAAAAGGGAUUACAUAACUUACUUGGGUUCGGUCGGAUUUCGUAUUUAGUAGUAGUACAACUAAUCCUUCUCGUGACAAAGACCGAGUCGGGGAAGGGUGGGAAGGGUUUGAGUUGGGAAACAAGGAAUAUAUAGGUGGGUGAAGAGUCGAUUGGAUUGGAUGACCGGAUGGACCGGUUUGGGGGCAGCGGUCAGGCCCGUGAGGGGAUUCAAUUAGGAGUCCGGGUUUUUUGUUUUAUGCGGGCGUUGGCCCGUUGGAUGGGUGCAGAACCGGUCAAGGCCAUUGUUGGGUGGGCCGGUCUGUGGAGUGUAGAACCGGAGGACUCGGUUGCCCACUGCCGAGGAGCCGGAAACGCUGAUGACGCCAGCUGGAUCCGGCCGCAGACCGCAGAUUUCGACUACUGAACCGGCGAUUCUUCUGUUUAACCCAUUUCCCUUUUGCGCUCAAAUUUUUAGGCAAAGUUACUAUUAUUAUUAUUAUUAUUCUCUGAACCGGAAAUUUUGCAGGACUUCCUCCCAAUAAUACAGUAUAUAUUAUCGUGUUACCAUCGCCUUGGAAUUUAGGCAAGUAUCCCGGAAAUUCUGGUGUGUAACUCUAAUUUCUUGGCUUCCGGAGAAAUUGCUACUAGUCUGUAACUUACUUGUAUGCAAACGAGCAUACAAAAGAGUAUGCACUUGUGCUGUUUCCAUAACAUCUUUUAUGCUGCUCUUGGCCACCAUACAAACUCAUGUUUGUUACUUUUUUUCUGGUUUAAACUUGUUUCAUCCUUUUUAGCACAAAAACCCUCUGGGAGAUACGAGAUUAAGGGCCAUGUUUAUGCAUCCAUGACAAAGAACAUCGUGCCAUCUUGUCACUUGAGGGGCUCGAUGCAUGAAAUUAAGCAUCUUAGGUGCAACUAAGAAGAUCCCUGCCUCAGGUCAGGUAUCAAUCUUCAACUAUUGGCAUUUUGCUUGAUCCCCUGUUAAACUGCGUGUGUUAAUAGUACUUCUCUCAAGAUCACAACUGUUUUUCUCAAGCUAUUUCCAAAGCACAGACCUUGAUCAUGAAACAUCGAAACUAGCUCCAAGUUCCUACUUUCCUUUACAAUGAACUGUGGCCUCAGCUAUAAAGGAGAAGGGAGAAAAAUCCCAUUAGCUAUAAAGUAGUAUUGAUUAGGGAUGACAAAAGUGUGAAAAAUGAUUAUUGAUUCGUUGAAUAUCGGACGGUACAAUCCAUUAUUGAUCUUGAAUACUAUUAUAAGUACUUUCUCAUUUAAAAACAUGAAGGCAUUUGAGUACAGCUCAUCCUUUGAUAUGCAAAAGCAUUAUCCAAAUGAUUCUUUUGUUUAGGCAUAGCAUUUUCUCAUAUGGUGCCUUUUAGCUAACGAAUCUUCCUCAAUCCCAAAGCUAUUUUGUAUUAUUCCUUCUCGGAUCCUUAUCCAUUGAUACUGAUUUGACGAAAGUUAUUGGCUAAUGCUAGUAAAAAGGACAUCACUUAACCAAGAUGCACCAAGCACCUGUAUCGCUCGUAGGUUUAACCUCCUUUGUCAUGUUCCAGACGAUCCAAGUUCAAAGAUUCCCUCAACUAUGUCCGCCGCUGUACGCUUCACUGCAGUUUUCUCAAAGGUGUCGACUUCCCAAGAUACGGAUGAAGCUAACUUUGUUCGUUUUACUGGAAGCUUAUUAAUUCUCAUAAUCUGCAUGGUUCACAGUUUAAACCUAGUUGUAUUUACUUACUUGGGAUAGCAAAUGAUAUCAGGCAAUUCUUGAGGAAAUGUGUGCUCACAAAAUCCUAAAUUUCAUCUGAGACUAAUUGAUUUCAAGAAAGAGCUUACCAAUUCUCGAUUCAAACAUUCUAGGACGACCAAGAUAUACUAACUAAGAAUAAAAAAUAAUGCUUUACACAAAAGAAAAGAAAUGAAGUUAUAGGGCAGAUUUAUGGGCUGUUUGCUCAACAAAGUCUGAAGUUACCCUGAAUUAUAAUAUGUUGUGAAGAAUGACAUUCAAUCUGGUCUCUAAAAUUAUUAAUUAUGCACUUCUCUUAUUGAAUAAAAUUUGUAAUUUUAUUCAAAUUAUUUUUUUUAUUUCUGAAAAUUAAUUUGGUCAUUUCUUUAGAAAUGAAAAUUAUUCCACUCAUGAAUUUCAUACGAAAACUAAUUUACCGCAUGAACUUUUCCAUGAAUAGCUAAGCUAGCUAAAAGGGGUAAAAAGAACAGUAACUUUCGGACCAAGUACGUUGAAAGUUUGCACUUACAGUGGAUUAUACAUACAGAAGGUUGAGGCUAAAACGUAUGGAAUCAUCAUCAUGCAAUAAUUUUGAGACAAAAGGAAUAGAAAAGUAGCCUUCAGAAUAAUGCAUAAUUAAACGGUUGUGCUGUGUCCACCAUCCAAAAUCCAAAGUCCAGAAAAAGUGGGAACAGAAAGAAACUGUAUUAAUUUACAGGGGCUUCCCACCCCUUCUUAACCACUCUCUCUGUUCUUUUUAUACAUUCGGUUCCAGGAAGUUAUAGGCCAAAUCUUUCUCCCCUAGGACCGUAAAGGAUCGUCGUCCAUCACUCUCUUCUUUCCAUCAGAAUCUGAAGCAAAUGCAAAUGAAUUUAUAUUUUUUCGGCAUUUUCUGCUUCUUAGCAUUACUCUCCCAGUCAAGUACUAAAUUCCUUCUCUGCCUGAGAGUGAAUGCAUGUGAUUUAAUCUGCGAAGAUUGUACCAAUUCAAAAAUUCACUGACAUGUUUACUCUUGUUUGGUUGUAGAUGGAAUUCAACUUAUAAUAGUGAACAACUGCAAAGAGAGCGUAUGGCCUGGGAUUCUUGGCACUGCAGGCCAUCAGACCCCGAACGAUGGCGGAUUCCAUCUGUCUACCGGCGAACAGAUAGUGGUAGAAGUGCCCGAGAAGUGGUCCGGCAGAAUAUGGGGCAGGCAAGGCUGCUGUUUUGAUGAACAGGGUAAAGGUUCAUGCCAAACCGGAGACUGCACGGGCCUCCUUGAGUGCAUGGGCACCGGGGGGCUGCCCCCAGCAACACUAGUAGAAAUGACGCUAGGAACUGCACAGAAUCAGUUGCACUACUAUGAUGUGAGUUUGGUUGAUGGUUUCAACCUCCCCGUCUCGAUGAUUCCGGUUGGUGGCGGCGUUGGCUGUGGAGUGGCGGCCUGUGAGGCAAAUGUGAAUGUGUGCUGUCCUGCGGCCUUGGAGGUGAGAAGACGAGGGAAAGUGGUGGGAUGCAAGAGCGCCUGUCUGGCCACAAAGGCACCUAGAUAUUGCUGUACCGGGGAAUAUGGUAGCCGGGGAAGUUGUAAACCAACAGUUUUCUCCAAUCUGUUCAAGGCCAUCUGCCCCAGGGCAUAUAGCUAUGCACAAGAUGAAUCAGCUGGGCUUAAGAGAUGCAGAGCGCCACGGUAUGUCAUAACCUUUUGCCCUCCUCACAAAACAUUGCGCUAAGGGCCACUGCUACUUUGACCUUAAUUCUGCUGGGCUGAUGUUUUGUUGUUUUUGGAAGUUUACUACUACUUGUUACUGCUUUGUACGUCCCUGAUCUUCUUAGAUUGUUGAAAUUUCCUGACAUAGAGAUCUUCUUAUGCCCCAAUCUCACUGCAUAAUUGUCGCCAGAUAUAUGUAAUUACCAGGAAAGAUAUUCGUCGAAAAUUUGAGGCUACAUAACUAUUUCCUGAACGUUAGGAGAGUGGGGGCACCAUUUUAAUCUCACUUGAUCAAAUCACGAAAGUGCUGCAGAAAAAAAUAAAUUUAAUGAAUAUAAAUCAACUUACAGGGCAUACUGAAAUUCUUAUUGACCGGACACGUCCCUCUGCUCCUACUUUUGCUGCAACUGAACUUGAUUUUUCGUGAUGCGGCUAAGAUUAUAAAUCAAAUUCUACAUUUGUGAGGUCUGCGCCAAUUCUCUCGGUGGAUAACUGAGAAAAUACCUCACCGCAUCCUCCAUUUUUCCCUUUAAUUUUUUGCAGUCUCAACACAUGAAACAACUCUUUUCUACGUAUUUCAGAGCUAUAUCUUUGUGACAAAACACUAAACAGCUCCGCAUAUCGAAGCCAUCGUCAGGAUAAAAUGUACGUAUCAGAUUGUGUACCUGAAAACUAACUCAGAAAGUGCUGGAUCAAUCGUUUAUGAGAGAACUCUAAUAACAGCAAAAAGCAUUCCUAAUCUAUCCAAGAAAUGAUGAAAUAUUUGAAAGUUCAAGAAGUAAUAAGAAGAUUAAAAACAUUCUUUUAACGAAAAUCCACCAAUCCAUACAUCAGAAAACUUCUGGCCUCCUACUACACCACAGGCUCUGCACAUGGCACGAUUUGUACAGUCACGACCUCCGCUGCACUACACGUUCCUCCUCUUUACACCCUUACAUAACUUAAUACAGUAAUUUUAUGAUUUCUGCACGGGCAUCAGGUUCGUUCACCAUCAAAGCCUCACCUAACCAAUUCUAGGUAUAUAUUCAAACUAAAAAUGUACAAGUUUUUUAAGUACAACCAACAAGUUUAUUUUUAGAAAGCUCCAUCCAUCAAAAUAACGGAUAGAACCAAAGCCAGACAAGAAAAUUGAAGAAGGCAGCUCUCAUAUUAGCCUCUGUUAGCUGUACAAUUUCCUUCCUAUGCCAUCUAAGCAGCAGAACAUGAAGAAAGGAUGCCUAUCCUCCUCUCUGCAAAAAGAUCAAACACCUCAUCAGAGAAAUUCUCUAUGAAGCUUUGAAGUAUGAUUACUUCAGUGGCAGUCAUAUAAUGUUCUCAUUUCAAACAGACUGCAGAAGAACAAUAAACAGAGCAAUGAAUAUGGUCCAGAGCAGGCAUAUAUAUCAAGAAUAACAUAUAUACAGGAUCUGGAAUGUGCUAUGCCAUCAUGAACAGCCAAAUAAGUAAUGUUCAAGAGAUUUCUCGAAACAGUUUAUAUAGGUUUAUUUCCACAAAAAGUGACAUUGGGGGUUAAGUAAUUUUAGUCACACAAUAUGCGCUUCCAACAUUUUUCUGGCCAUAAAUUCCCAUACCAACAAAGAGUUAAUAUCAUGUGCCAUCCCUAAUUUGCUUGUGCACUUUUGUAUUGCAUCUUCAACUCCCACCAAAUACAGGUACCCUUCGGUUAAUCACUUGACAAAUUCAGUUUUAGGAGGGGUGAUGGACAGAAUUCAGUUGGACAAAAGAUAAUUUUCCUCGCACAAUACCAGGAUGCAAAUAAAUCGGUCAAUUAUAAUCAGAAUGAAUGAAAUAAUCAAUAUACCUCCAGCAGCAACAAGUUUCUCCACACGGGCAACUAUAUGCUUCCCAUAGGUAUAUUUCUUCAGCGCAUUCAGAUGAACCUUUAUUCGAUUAAGAAUCAGUUCAAGUUGCUGGUCAUCACAAGUCUCCAGCACUUUCUGUACAACAUAGUUAGCAAACUGGUCUUUCAUCAUUACCUGAAAUUAAAAAAUGUAACAAUGAGUCAUGAACAUGUAUUUCUUAGAAAUCCUUUAUGACGCCCAUUAAAAAGAAAAAUAUCAUGAAACCCACAAAAAUAAAAAUCUAGUGAAAUAGCACAUGCACAGCAGCAGAGAACCAUGAACAUGCAUCCCAUUUGCUUCUAGACACAUACGUGAUCUAUAAAUUAGCACCUAUAAAUACAAUCAGAACCUGGGGUAUUCUAAAGGAAAAUAAAGAAUUCACAGAUCUAAUAAACCAAUUGCACCUUCAACCCCCCCCCCAACAAAAAAAAAGAGUAGGGGAUUAUUGAAUCUGAGUUUGAGUUGAUGUUCUGGUAGGAAUAGGACAUUGGAAUGAGUGCAUCUUACUCUGCAUUGGCUCUUAAAAGCACAAUAUCAGUCAUGCUAUCAGAUUAGUACUUAAUCCAAGAACAGCAAGAUGAAAUUAAAUUGUCCACUGCAUCAAACAAGGUUAAUGAACUCAACCUAUCUAAAAAUUUAAAUAAAUAAAUAAAAAAAGACGACUUUCUUCCAAACAACAGAAUACAUGAAUGGGACCUGGAAGUAGAUAUCCUCCUCAGCUGUUCUCAUUCCCUUUCGUAGUUUCACAACAAUUUCUUUUAAGAAAAAAGUAAACUGUCAGCACACCUAUAUCUUAACUCUUAACCAUAAUGAUAUCAUAGAAUGAUUCCCAAACAAUAAGCAUAUAUUGCCAUUGUUUGUGCACAAAUUUGUGACAAUUGAGACGAUUAAUAACUAUUAAGGCAGAAAAUUGCAUCUUAAAGAAUAUCUGACCAUUUAUGGACUGGAAUACCUACAUUAGAAUGAGAAUCAUUUAAAACCCAAAAGCAGAUAAAGAAAUUUAAACCAAACUGAGCAAGAAACAUAUAAAGGUAAACUUGAGAAUAAGUUGAAAGUAAGUGUUGGUUGCUACAGAGCUUGAACACAUGAUAACAACUAGCACCCCCCCCCAACACCAAAAAAAAAGUACAAAUGAGAGAAUGUAUCAAAUCAAGCUUGACCAAAACCAUCAAAGUCUCUUGGAGAAAGCACGUGAAAAAUAACCAACCUGAAGGGGCUCAUUCUCAUCAGUUGAACCAAGCAUCUCAUUCACUAAGGUCUGGCGUUCCUCAGCAGUUCCAAAAGUUAAGCACUUCUCCACGACAUUUGAGGCAAACUUUUGCUGGCUCAUCUGGACUAUCUGUCCAAUUAAUUUAGUAAUUAUAGAAGUACGCUCUUCGGGCUUUCCAUGCUCUAGUACAUGCUGUCAGAACACACAAUGUUAAAAGAAGACUUAAGAAAGACAAAGAUCAUACACACAUACAGACAAAUGGGGGCCAAGUAGGAGAAACUUGAGAAUGCCUGGGGAAUGACAGAAAGUCUCCUUAGAGGCUCAUAUAGCACUUUGGAGGUCCAAACAAAUAAAUACACCCCAAAAAGAAUGUGCAUGCAUACAAGCAUGUUCUGUGUGCAUUCAUAUAGCUGUAUUACCAAUAAACACUAAUACACAUGAGAAUUGUAUCAAUUAAUCCCGUGAAGUAGCAUUAUCUUUGUCCAUGUAACAACACUAACGACUAGAAGACUCAACUGCAGCAGUGGCCAUGAUUACAGUAUGUUUGACAACAUAAUGGGACUUUACAGAUUGGAAUAUUUGGAAACUUCCUGACAAAUCAAUUAUUUAUUCAAAUGCCAUCAAUUAUGGUUACUCUUACAUCAUUUUCCUGGAGAGUUGCUGCAUGACCAUAAGCUGAUAGAUUGGAAAGUAUAUUGAGUUACAAACUUAUCCUCUAUAAAGCAGAUUAUUCAUCUCAUAUGGAGAAGUCAUGAUCAAACUAAACAUGUACACUAAAAUUGGAAGUUUACAGGAGCCCAUGGUAAGUGGCACCUAUCAUGAAAAUUUUAUUUUUAGAACUAACAUCCAAAUACAAUAUCGGAAGCUAUUUAUCUAAGUAAAGAGCAAAACCUGAACAACAUAAUUCCCGUAUUGAUCUUGUGCUAGCAUGCAAACAGAUUGCAGAAUUUCAUCCAUUACUAUGCUUUGUGUCUUUGCAUCACAGCAAUGCUCAAGUACUCGCUGUCACAUAAACCAUCACUAUUUUAGAACAGAAUCAAUAAUUCGCAUUUAAUAUAAGAGAAACCAAACCCUGAAUUCUGUGUCUGCAGGAUUAAACGUAGCUAGUUAGAAACCUGUAUAACCCGACAACCAUAUGGAUGAGUUGAUAAUGUCACAACUUGAUCAUAGAAAACUGAAACAAUGAAUUGAAUGGCGUCUUCAGGAAUACAUUCAAUACAUUUCUGAAUUACAUGAUUGCCAUUCUGAUCGCGUACACAGCGCAUAACAUGGCCAUCGAGCUCUGCGACCAUUUUUGUUUGUUGAUCUAGAUCGACAACCUCUAUCGCCUGGACAAACAAAGAAGUCUUAAAGACCAAAUAUGUCCACAGAGAUCAUAAGAUGUUAAAAACUAGAGCCCCAUCUGAAUAAGCGAUGUACAAGACCAAUUAGAACAGAUCUAAACUAGAGAUUGUGAUAAAAGGGAGGGGCGGCGAGAAGGGGAAAAAAGAAACAGGACAAGAACACUGGAAAAAAGGUUUGCAUUUUCUAACGCGAGCAUCAGACCUAUACAUGGUCCAACACAAUGUUUUGAAAAUCUUUAGUACAUCAGCAUAAGAACUUAGUAAAGCAUUUAAAAUAAUUUGUCUUAUGGCAUAAUGAAUCACUUGAACACUGGUGUUACACAAGUGCAGAUAUACGUUUUAGAGCACUAGUUGGUAUUAAAUUUUAAAUCACGAAGCUCUGGUGAGCAGAAACGGCAUCUACUCAGACUAGUUUUUGCAGGGACUCUAACAUUUUCAUAAAUGGAAUAAAAACAUGCUAACAUGUUAGUAAUAAGCAAGAAUCAGCAGAAAUUGGAUACCUUCUGGAUCACUCGGCAGCCAUACAUUUGAAGGCUAAGUGCCAAAACAUGGCCAUUAAGCUGGUCAGCCAGUUCUCUAAUCUGUGCUGGACUUCCAUGUUCAAAAAACUGGAAGAAAAGAUAGAAGAAUGUGAAAAGAAAGAAUAUAACCAUAAGACAAUGAUAAGAUUUGUACAACAAUCUUUAUUCAAGUAGUACUUGCAGGCAGCUGAAUGUGUGCCAACUUGCAAUUACACAGUUGAUCGCAAAAAAAAUAAAUGCAACUUCACCUUCUGGAUCACAUAAUUCCCAAAAACAUCAGUCAUCAGCGAAAGUGCUUGCGGCAUAAUCUCAUGGAAGACCAUAUUCUUCUCUUCUGUAGUUGCUGUUUCAAGUUUCUGUUGAAUAAAUCUACUUCCAUACUGAUCCGCGCUGCUCAAACGAGGUUUUCAAUGUGUCAUAAAUAGCUAGGCAAAGAUACUACAAGGAUAUUAAACAUCUAUAUUAAGAACUGCAGGCAAAUGUACUCACAGAAGCAUACCUGAACUCAACAACAUGGCCAGCAAUCUCUGAAAGCUCAAAACACUUAGUUUUAUUGCUUUUGAACUGAUCCAGUAAUGAUGACGCAAAACUUUCUUCCAAGCCACUCCCAAGAUCCAAAUGCCAUGAUCCCAUAACAUUUCCAGUGAAGUUUCGCAUCCCUGAAGGAAAACGCAUGUUUCGUUCGCCAUGCCUGACUGGACUGCCAGAUCCAAUUGGAGAAUUUGGAAGAAGUUGGCCCCCCAGUUGGUUUCCAGCAUAAGACAUUCCAAGACCAAAUCCAGGGUUUCCAUAGUAUCCAUGAUUUAGAUUACCAGCUUUGCCAAGAUAGGGAAGACUAUAAUGUGAUUUCUGAUGUAAGAGCAAUGUCUCAAGGUAAGAUUUCUGCAUCUCUAACAGCUCCAUGAAUGAGUUUCCUACAGACUCCCUAUCAAGCAUUGGAUCAUUAAGAGCUGCAGCAUGUGCAGCUGCAUACUCGGUUGAUUUCAAGUAUUGAAGAUACAAUGGAUCCAUCAGAGGCAUUUGCAAAGCACUAGCGGAAUUUUGAUUACCAACUCUACCAAGGUUCUGCAACUCUGCUGCAGCAGCCAAUAAAUUAGGCCCUAAAGUAACUCCUCUCGAGUCAACACCCAUUGCCCUUGCAGCAGCAAUAUUUUCAAUCAAAGGCAACGGAUUGCCACCACCAAGCUGGUUCCCCAACAUGGACGGUGAUCCAGGAUUCAUAGCACCACCACUUAAGGCAUAGUUUGCAAAGGAGGCAUUUGGGCUAUCAAUAUUUGGAUACUGAGAAGGUGAGUUUCCUCCACCAUGAAGAGUCAAUGAGGAAGGUCCCUUCAUAUAUGACUCAACAGAGGGCACAGCAGAUUUGUGAAACUGCAUUGUUUCAGGCUUGUUUAAAAGGGAAUGAUGUUUAACUGGAUUGUGAUCAUUUUGCAAAUGGUAGAGGUUCUCAUGAUGAAUUUGGGAUGCCAGAUGCUUCCCUUCAUCUAUUUUGUUAUUUGCUGAAAGGCUCAUACCAGACAAAGCAGCAGCAAUGUCUGCCGAUACAUCUAUAUUUGGUAAAAUAUCAUCCGAUGAUUUCAAGAUGUUUGCAUUUCUUUUAUCCACUGAAUUCACUCUUCCCCCACCAACUGGAGGAAUGCGAGGACUAGGAGCUUUUGCAACAAGAUGUGGGUCUGGAGUGGUACUUCUCGACAAUGAACCACCCAGAGCGGAAGCAUAACUUUGAGAAGCUGAUGAGCCAACAUUGUGGACUGCAGAAAUUCCCUGAAUAUUUGCACCAGAAAGUAAUGAAUCUACUGAUGUCAAUUCCUGCUGUAGAUGAGCAAUUUGAGGAUCAGAAGAUUCAAGAAUGUUAUCAAAUGCACGGCUGGCCGGACGAGAUGGAUGACCAGAAACUGGUAACGUCUGAUUUGCAUCAUCCUACACCAAUAUCGAAGUAUUGUUUUACACCAUAACAUUUGAUGAAUAGAACAUGUAAAUGAUACCAAAAAGUUUAGCACAAGCACAAAGCACAGAUGACAGGUGACCAUAUAAUGUAUGUGAGAAGCAAGCAAAAAUUAUUUUUUCCUUAUUGAUUUUACAAAAGAUAAAUAAAUGCUAUUACAUUUUAAAAACUUACAGAUUUUACAGAUAUGAAUUCAGAUGCUGCCAAUAACCUAAAGUACUUUUUUUUUAAAACCUAAAGUAUUUAAUUUUGGGCAUAAGCGUAUAGGCAAGUAAAACAUUGGAAAAUGAAGAAAUCUAGUAAAGAUUGGAAUGAUAAACAUUGUCUCAGUUCAAGGCAAGCCUUUUCCAGCAAGAGCACUCUUACAUUGGCCCGAGCAUCCUACUGCUAAAAUUGUGAGAGGCAUGGCAGAUUCAAGGGCAGUGCUAAGUAUUAAUACAUCCAUGAAAUAAUUUUUCAAAUUAUUGCUCACCCCAAAAAGCUCUUCUAUAGCCUCGACAACAUAGAAUAUGUCAGAGAUAACCUUCUUCCAUGGACCAUUUCACGAAGAAAGCAAAAUCUUAUUUAGGUUUCCAACAUUUGAACCAAUAUAGGAAUACGCUCGUAAAAACAUCAUACAAUGGGAAUUACAGAAUAAAAAAUAACGUAGAAUAUGUAGGAGAUAACCUUCUUGCAUGGACCAUUUCACGAAGAAAGGAAAAUCUUAUUUAGGUUUCCAACGUUUGAACCAAUAUAGGAAUACGCUUGUAAAAACAUGAAACAACAGGAAUUACAUAAUAAAAAACAAAAGAAGCCUAACAAAAUACUUGCAACUGCUGUACGGGACAUGCAAAACGCAUUUUAUAGCAAGAAAUGACUAGUAGCAGAUCCACACGUGUGACAAGAAUAUAAUAGCAAAAAAUGAGAGAAUGUCAAAGCAAACUUUUGAUGUCAGUGCUCAAUGCUUCACGACAAUCUUUAAAAUAAAUGCACGCUGAUUUGCCAAGAAGCACGUCAACACCGCUUUAGAUAUGGAAAACAUAAAUACAAACAGAAAUGUCAAAGACAACAUUAGCAGGAGAAUAUGAAGCAUCUCUUAAUGUCAUUAAUAACCAAAGACAAUGAAACUCCAAUAACAAUAACUUUAACCAAUUAAAUAUUAUCCUUGAGGAAACAGGGAACAACCGAAUAUCAUCUGCCAACGUUCUAGCAGUGACUAUCAGUCAAGGAGUGACGAAAAUAGAAUCCAAUGGCAGUAAAUAAGCUCAUAGCUUCUCAAGUACUAGAUAAAUAAAAUUCUUGACAAUCAAUCAGAUGAAAGGUAAAGAUACACAUUCUCACGUGUUCAAUCACAACCCUAAAUCUAUCAGCAACUUCUGCACAGGACAAAGCAAUUCAACCAUCAACCAACAGCCAACAGGUUAUUCAACAUAUAGCAGAAACUAAUUUCUUAUAUAAGCAACCCAAUAGAAACCCUAUCAACAAAUUCCAAAAUUUCAAACUUUUCAACCAAGAAACAAGAACCUAGAAAAGGAGCGGCAAAUGUAGUUUCUUAAUUUGUCUUCACCUGGAUUAUUUCAGCGAAGCUCUUCUGCCGCCUUACUAAUCCCGGUCCUGGCAAACCAAUAAGUCCGUCACCACCCCAUUCCUUCUGAGGGUCCAUGACAUUCUCUUCUUUCAUCCCAACAAACUCCGGCUGCAUUGAAAACAGUGACCUAUUAAUACUUCCUCCAUCACCGCCGCUGUUUCCAACCACUUUCCUCCUAUCGCCAAUGGUGGCUGAACUGCCUCCCCCUCCACCCCCACUUCCACCUUCAACACCGCCCUGCAACCUCUGCGCAAACCGCCAGUCCUCUUUAGACAAAAGAGGAGGCGGAAGCCGAGGGUUCAAGUUGACAUUCGAGUAGUAAUAGUUAAUGUACGCCGGAUCAGACCUAAUCUCCUCCUCAGACAAACCUCCACGACCGCCAGAAGCGCCUCCGCCAAACAAGCCGCUCAGCGAUCCUUCAACAGUGGGAGGAGCCGAGCCGCUCCUGAAAAUGCUGAGCUCCCUCUCGAUAUCACUAGCCUCUUGUUGCCUCCGGUGCUGCUCUCUCAGCAACAUCUCCAGCUCUUCACUGUAGUCGUCGCUUCCUCGCAUCAUCGAUGAUCGCAUUCCGAUUUCCGACAUCAUCUUCGAAUAGCUAUCGGUAAUCAUCCCGACCUAUACAUACAUAUAAAUAUACGUCUAUCUAUAUGUAUAUAUCUACACCUCUAUCUAUACACACACUUUUAUUCCCAAAAACUAAUCCUAAAACACCGCAAAUUAACAACUUGAAGCUUAAAUUAGAAUUAAAUUAACUUAAAAGUUGACCCAAAAACAGUUUUUCCAUUUUGCCUUCAGCAAAUUAAUGUUUUUUGGAUAAACUUAAAAAAAAAAAAUUUCUGAGCUGAAUUAGUAAUUACAGAGGUUUGCCAUUGAAAAGGGACUCGAAAUUCGCUCAGAAAUAGAGAGAUCGGCCAUCGCGGAGGGCUGGAGAGUGAAGCAUUCUAUAGAGAAACUAGUGAGGGGAAAGGGUUUAGUUUCAGAGAGAGAACGCAGAGCGGAGAGUGGAAAGAAGAAAGAACAGUAAACAGCGCAAGUGAGGGGGACGGGGACGUAGGGAUUAUAAAGAGUAAGAGUAAGGGAUUGUCAACCGUUGGAUCGAUGAUUGAACGGUUGAGAUUGAGAGAUGGAGAAGGAACGCUUCCUACAAUUGGGCCCUGGGAGUGGGGGUGUAGGAGUGGCUAAUGCGAUACCGGGUUAGGGUUUUUAUUUCAGAGGAUCUUUAGGUGGAUUGUGGAUCGCCUGAAAUUAGAUAUUUUGCCAUAUUUUAUGCUACUAGCGUUAGGCUGCUCUUUGGGCGUUUUGGAAUUUUUACACAAGGGUUUCAAUUAUGGUAGUAUUUAUAUCCUGGCACGCAAAUGUUCACCUUCUGCUUACACAAGGGUUUUUUCUUUUGGUAAUAAACAAUGAUAUAGAACUAAGGAUGUGUUUGAUAAAAUUAAAAUUUAAAAAUUAAAAUCUAAAAUCUAAAAUUUGAAUCUAUUAAAUUAUUGAAUUAUUAAAUAUUAAAUCUAAUAUAUUUGAGAACAUAUCACAUUUAGUGAUAAAUGAAUAACUUAUCACUUAAUUUUAGAAACAAAUUUUGCCUAGGAAAUUCAGUGCCACUUAAUUAAUUUAAAUGUUCAAUUUUUUGUUAUCAAACAGUCUGAUAUGUUAAGAUCUGAAUCUAUUAAGUUUAAGUACCGAAUCGGAUUAUCAAACAGGACCUAUAUCUGAAAUAAAUCUAGUUCGGGGUUUUGGUAACAAAAUUUUGCAAACGACCAUUUUAAGUUGUUUUAAUUAGUAGAUAUCUUGAAGAUUAAACAUUUUGAAGCUCUUGGAUUGAGGAAUCGUAAACAUAUAUGUUAGACAUUUCAUCCAACACAUUUCUUUUACUUUUUAAACAUUGACUAUUGGAUUACCGCACAUAAAAUAAUAAAAUAAUUUUGGAUCCGUUUGGCAAGUGAGUUUUUUUUGUGUUUAUUUAAAGCUUGUUCUGUACCCGUUCGUUGGACGGGAAUCGUCGAAAAAUAAUAAACUUUAGUCAAUUUAUAAAAAUGUCGUUAUAAAAUACAUAUUUAAUGUAUAAUCUAUUAUAACUUAUCUUAAGUAUAUUACUAUGUGCGCAUUGUAAUGUAAAGUAUUCUUAUAAUAUAAAUUUGAACAUCUAAUUCAGUGAAUAAUAAUUCAAAAAUAGAAAAAAUAACAUUCAACAAUACCAUAACAUUCAAAAACUUGAAAAUAAAUAAAAAGUGCAGUAAAUAGUAUCAAAUAAUAUUCUACUAUUCAGAAACUUAUUUUUAUUUUUUUCUGUUUGAACAUUCUCCUCGAUUUGUCCGUGCAAAUCAGCAUUUAUUAAUUUUUUAUUAUCACUGCAUGAUAACAAAGUAGGAUAACUAAGUAUUAAAAAAAAUAAAUGAUUUAUCACAUUCAAGUUUAUGUAUAACAAUACGUAAAGAUUAUAAUUAAGUAAACGGCCAGAGUCUUUUAAUUAACUAAUGAAUUUGCAGAUAUAUCUAAUAGAGAUAUUUAUGUCUCUUGUAUUUAUAUCGCAUUACUUUCCAGUGCCUUUUGUUUUUGGUUGUUUUUCCUGAAGGUAAAUUAACAAACAUCGUAGUAUAUGAUCAUAAAAAUCAAUUAACAAACAUGUUAGAAAAAAUCCUACAAAAAUAACGAUGAAAGUACUUGUUUAAAUCCUAUGUCUUCAUACAAAACAAAUAGAAAAUAAAAUUAAAAAAAAAAACAAAAUUCAAGAUAUGUUACUAAGUUCUUACAAUUGAAGAUCAACAUGCCUUUUUAAUAUAUAUAUAUAUAUAUAUUGAAAGAAGAUGUACCUGAUAAUCAAAAGGAGUGAAAACCCAAAAUCGACACUUUAAUAUGCCAACCGCUUGCACUGGAAAUACCUAACCAUGAAUUUGAUACUUGAAAUCAAUAUAUUAGAGGUUAUAUGUAGUGUAGACAUAGGAAAUAAGAAUUGAUAAGAAUACAAAGAGAUAUUGAUAAGAACACUAAAAGUAUAUUCAUCUUAAUUUAAGUUGCUUAAAGUACGUAACUUUGGGUAAGAAAUAAGAAUCCUAUAAUAUUAAAAAUUCUUAUAGGAAAUAAAACCGUAAUCGUCCAAAUAACUUUGGGUAGGAAAUAAGAUCUUAUGUGACCCGUACUAUGCACGUAUAUAAACCUAUACGUAAUAAAUUUACAAAUGCGUUAUCAAGAUAGAUUUUACUGAUCUUAAAAGAUCACCUCCACUAUAUCGAGUCCUUUAAGUGCAUGAACUCCUAUGAUGUGAGCCCACACACGAAAUACUUCCCACCAUCUGGGCAGAGAUGUAUUGUGAUUAAGGAAUUAUUAGCAAAAAUAUAUUAAAAAAAAAAGACAGGCGGAGGAUACUACGAAUGGAGGUCUUUCUCUUGGAUUGGAGAUACUACGGACGGAGAGUUGAGUAGGGGCCUUCGGGGUGCAAACUUCAACAAAUAUCUAAUGUUUUAUCUCAUCUUUCUUUAGCUAUGAUAAUGGGAUUUUAUUUCUUUGGUUGAUGACACUCCAUUUUCUUUAUGGACUUUUCCAGAAUUUUUCAAUCAGAUGAAGUGUCAUUUCUCUUUGUACAUCAAUUAUGCAUGGGGGCUGUGAGUCUUGUAAAAACUUUCUCGGGCUAACUUUCUUUAAUUUUCAUGUCUAGAUUGUUUGUAUGUUGUUCUAUAUAUGGGUAGAUUAUCUUAAAAAAAAAAAAAGAUCUACGAUGAAGCUGUUAAAAAAAAAGAAUAGGACACUAUAAAAAAAUAUAUUAUCAUUUAUUUCUAUAUAUCUAAUAGAGGAGAUUUAUGUCUCUUUUAUUUAUAUUGCAUUACUUUCCAGUUCCUUUUUUGGGUAGAAAAUAAGAAUCAUAUAAUAUUAAGAAUUUUUAUGGGAAAUAAGAAUUGAUAUAUAUCCAAACAAAAAAGGAGCAAGCCACGUAGGAAACUACUUGCCGUCUCGUUAAGUCACGUAGGAAGGAAAAAAUAUGAAGGGAUAAGUAUGAGAAUACGGCUUUAUUAUAUAUAUAUAUUACUGCAAAAUUUGUAGAAAAAAUUUUUGAAGUGUGUAAAUUUUUUGAUAUUUUGAAGUAUAUAGUUUAAAAUUUUUGAGAAAUUUUUUGAGAUUACUGUAGAUAAAGUUGUUAAGAACUUGUAACAGAUAAAUUUGACCAAAAACUUACUUGCCAGACAAGAGUAAGUCGAGAUGAUGAUGAAGUUUAACUCGUCUUUUUUUAAAAUUAAAACUAGUAAGAAUGUAACAAAUUCAGAUAGAUUAGAAGUAAUGUCAAUCUUUUAGUGAAAAAAUUAUAUUGAACCACACAUAAAUACAAGGAUUUAUUUCCUAUUUUAAUUGACAUAAAAGAGUUUUACCAAUUGUUCUUAAUGAUUACAGCUGGGAAUGACGUAUGACAUGUAAGUUGAUAAAAUUGGAAGGGUAGUGAAGAGGGAGGAGAAAAGGUGUGGGUGACAUUCAAAUGCAACUAUGUAUUUCAAUUUUUAAUUGCAUGCCAAGGUUGUGUUUGGAUUCAAAUAUUCUAGAGUUUUUUUGUUUAAUUGUAUUGUAGCGAUUUAAUAUAUGUAAGUUAAAAAAGUAAUAAAAAAUAUGUUAAUAAAAAAUGUAGAGAUUUUUUUGAUGAUAAAUACCUUUUCAAACAAGGUUCACCAAGAUUGUGAAAAAGUACAUGUGGAAAUUAUAUGUUGUAUGUGGGUUAAAAUGUUAACUAUAUUUAAAAUGUUGGCCAAAAAACUUGAGUGCAACCACUAUUUUGAUCUUAUACGAUGGUGGCAUUAACAACAUGCAUGAAUAGGAUUUAAGAAUCGACAGAGAAAAGAGGAUUUGAAACUAAAACUCCUCAUUCCUACCGUCUUAACUUUAACUGAAAAAAUUAAGACCACCUCAUACAAACAUCGAUUACACCAGAACUCAAUACCAGCAUACCAAAACAUUAGAGAUACUUAUAUGUGUUCUAUUGACGGACUUAGUCACGGUGUGCUUUACAUGUUUCUUUCGCAUACUGUAAUGCAAUUUAUCGAGAGUUCAGAUAUAUUUUUCAUGGUUGACUUUGUGUGAUUUUUUUUUGCUACCAUACUUAAAUUACAAGACUCGAGCUUGAGUCAAACGAGGACUUUAUCUUUGAUAACCUAAUAAGACUCGUACUCUUGAAUGGGAUAACUAUCGAAAUUAAAUAAAUAACUCUACACACUUUCAUGGUUUAUCAGAAAAAGCCUUAUAAAUGCUAAUAAAUUGAACCAGGAAGAGGUCAAUACACAACAUAAAAAAAUACACUCAUUCUAUUCUAUAUUUUCAUUCUUUAAGUGAUUUAAGCAUCGGACUCACAACGAAAAGAUAGUCUCGUUGUUCAGUUCAUUGCAGGUCAGCUCGAUUAGCCGUGUUGGGCAUUCUGCUCGAAUCGUGCUCUUUGGCAGACUCUUCAAAAACAAAUCGUGUUUUUGAGACAUCAAAUAGCAAGUGAACGGAUAGAUUGAAUUUUGAAAUUAAGGCACACCGCACGUCUGAUAAAAUGUUUACUCGACUCAUACGGUGCAGACAUAAGCACACACACAUACGAUAACCACAUAGAUCUCUAAUAUCAUUAAUGAAAGUAUUCUGCAGAAAGCCAAAAUUUGUUUCACUUACACUGUAAACAUAAUUUUCAAUCACAUUUUUAUUUCAUAUACAUCACAUCAUAACAAAUGUUAUGUUAUUAUUUCAGAUAAAUUGUUUUAAAAUAAUCUUAUAUUCAAACUUAUAUUCUGUCUCAAAAGUGUAAAUACAUAACUUUAUGUAGCUCUCAGUUCCAUCUUAGCUGAGGUUUAAAACCAUCUCAAGGAACUAUAAACAGUACAGACAUUUGCUUACCGGCCAAAUCCCCACACUGUCCAUGCAAUUUUGGUUUUUUCAUGAAUUUCUUCACUCUAGCAAAUCUAGGAAAAGCACAAAUUCGCGCUUGAGAAAUGUAAUCAAUAACUGGAAGAGGAGGUUGUAAGUUGUAACGGCCUGCCUCUGCUUGAGUGUUGAUAUCUGAAGGAGGCACCGCUUUCAUCAAUGGUUGAGAUAAGUCUGUUUUCAUGAAGGCGACGUCAUUAGCUAUAGUUAGUAAUGGUAUGACAAAAUAUCCAAAACCCCACGCGCUUCGGUUGCUGCGAUUUUGCAUGUGACCCAAUCACGCACGAUGGUGGGCAGGUGGUGUGUCAUUAUUAUUAAAGUGUUUGUGAGGAGUCACGUGUGGUCCCCAAGUGUUGAAAGAGAAGACACUGCCGUUUCUGUACUUCUCAGUUCUCGAGAUCCCUUGACAAUAUAGGUCUUAACCUCAAAUCGCAGUCGUUGCGCGUGGAACAAGUAAGCGACCAAUUGACCCCAAGAUGAUGACGACGACGGAAACAUACAUGUGAGAAUAGUAAGAGGGAUGAAAUCUGUUUACAAAAUUACAGCCUUUUAAUACUUUUUCCCAAUUUUUUAUUUUUGGUUUUUUUUUGGGCUCAACUCUGGAAUUAAAAUUCCAAGUGGUUCAUGAUAUUUCUAAGAUUAUACUACUAUUAAAAUUCGCCGGUGAAAAGGAAAAGUUACCAAUAUUCUUGUCUUGGCCUUUUUUUUCCCCCUAUGUUUCAAUUUCACCAAUCUUGUUUCGAUGGAGGGAAUAAUUCCCUUAUAAACACACAAAGGGACUAUACAAUUUUCCAAAAUUACAAAAAACUUUUCAUUUGAUCUUGUACGUGAUUUCUAUUUAUAACUAAUCCUUAAAGUUUAAAUGAAAUCCUCAACUAACUACAAAAGUGUUACGAUUAGGUAAAUUUAAAAUUUAAAAUUUUUUCAUUUACUACUUUUGGCACGAAAAGUGUGACAAUUGAUUAAUCAUGUGAGCUGAUAAAGUGGGGAUAUGAAUGGCCUAAGAUGUCUAAAUCUAAUCGCUAAACUUGAAACUCCAAAAUUUAGAAAUUUUAGAUUUAAAUUCCCCUUCUCAUUUCGUCUCUUAAAUCUUAUCCAUCCACUGCUAAAAAAAAAUUUUAAAAGUAGGAUUAUGAAUGAAAUGAAUCCUCAUGUCUGGUAUAUUUCUAUACAAAUAUGGACUAGGAAUUGGCACAUUAAGUAAUGGGAAAAUUACACCAAUCGUCUUUUACAUAUCACUGAUAUAAAAUUUUAGUCUUUUAAAAUCAAAAUGAGCAAAUUUAGUCCCUAAUAAAUAAAAAAGACUCGCUUUUGAUCCUUAAUCAACUUUCCAAUGAAAUUUUGGCCAAAAAUUUGGUCCAUUGUUUGCUGGUUAUUGGGUUCAUAUUUCUCAUGGGUCUCUUGAUCUUUAGGUUCCUAGAAAUCAUUGGAUGUAAUUUGGUUCUAACUUUAUUUGAGUCAUAUGGAGAAAAUAGAGUAGGAAAUUUUUUAGAAUUUUAGAUUUCUCAUUUGGUUCUUUGAUUCGUUUGUGUGAUUAUUUUUAUUUGAUUUGAAAUUUGGGACAUGUUUGAAAAAAGUUGGGAACUUGAUCGAUGACAAAAACAAGUUUUUGUACAAUUUGUCGAAAUAACUUUUCAAUGAGAUAGGCCAAAAAAUCUGCAAAAUUAGAAAGAUAAUGGGAUCCAACACAUAUCUUUUGAUUUUUAUUUUUAUCCUUUUUCAUCCCACAUAUAUUGCUACAAAUCAAUAAUAUCACGAUGCAAUCUAGACGUAUACAACUUACAUAAAAAAAAAAAAGAGCUAAAGGAGUAAAAGUGAACAGAGAAGAUAUGUCAUGAAUGUAGACCCAUUUGUAAAAAUACACUUUCUAAACUGACAGAUUAGUUUUCAUCCAUCCAUCAACUAAAGGCAAUAUAUAUAGAGAUAAAAGCUCAUUGCAUCAAUACUAUAGACAAACCAAAGGAGUAAGUCCUAACAUUUUUAAAAGGAGUACCACUUGAUUAUAAUGUAGUACUUGUAUGGCUGGUUGUUAUGAAAAUACAAAGUAUAAUUUUAAUAAUAUAUUAAUAUCUCGCUAUCUCCUGUUUAAUUUGCCACAUGCCGUUGAACAGGUCUGUGACAAGGAGACCUACCUGCUCCCGUUACAUCUCAAAAUUUAACAAUACCUUGACAAGUCAAAACAAGAAAAUGCAGAACUUCCAAUACUUUUAGGAUCAUGGAGAAACUUCCUACUCCCGCUAGCAAGAAAAUGCAGAGUAAUUGAAAAUCGUAAAGCAUGCAUCCUAAUUACGUAAUUUUCUGUAAUUCUUCUUCUUCUUCUUCUUUUUCGCGGACUUGCCGAUGAAUGAGCCGAAAGUAAGAGAUUCAGCCGGUCCACAAAGGGCAGUAAUGGACACAUGGACCAGGAUAGUAGAAUAAAGAAGUGCAGUUGAUGCGAAGACAGGCGUUAAUCGUUUGAAAUAUUCUUUAAAUGAUAAUGAUGUGAGUAAUACUUUUUAGUUUUAGGAUUUGAUGAAGAAUAUAUAUCCCAAGCGUUCUUUUGUGCAACAUAGUUAGGGAUGGUAAUUUCCGACGCGACUUGAAAACACGAAAUUAAUGGGUUUGGGUUGAGGUUUCGCGGGUUCGGGUCAGAAUCAGGUCGAAUUCGAUGAAUCCGAAACGAAAACAGGUCGAAUUCGGGUCGCCUACGUAAAAUAAUUUAAAAUUUUAAAAAUAAUUAAAAAUAAUGAUCCGAUAACCCGUUUACGAAUUAAAAAUAAUUUAAUAAACAUAAAAAUUAUUUUAUCUAACUAAACUAAGUUAUUCUUUUUUCCCAAAGGCAUUAAUCACUUAAUCCUAAAUGAAUUUAUUUAACAUGUGUUAUAUUUGGACAAAUAAUGUAUUAUAUUAUUUUUUACUUUUAUACUGUUUUAAUUUAUUUUAUAUUUGGUUUGGAAUAAAACACUUUUACGGUGUUUUAUUUUAUUUUAAAUUUGGUUUGGGAUUAUUUAUUUAAAUUUUUAUUACUUGAUUAUGUAAUUAGUCUUGUGCGAAAUUGAUUUUAUUAGAAAUUAUAGUGGUAAAUUAAUAAAUUAAAAUUAAGUUUCGGGUCAUUUCUGAUCGACCCCCAACCCGUCAACUCGAAAUUUUUUGUUUCAGAUCCGGUAUCCGGACCUGUUUCGGGUUGACGGGUCAAGUUCGUGUCAGCAGGUUUUCUGUUUUCUGUUAUACCUAGAUCCCAACCCGUCAGCCAACCCGAUCUGAACCCCUAAACAUAGUGACCUUUUGUGUGUGUGUGUGUGUGUGUUGGGGGGGGUGGGGGGGUGAAACUUUUAUAAUUAUCCUGAAGGGAAAAAAAAUCUGAAAAAGGAGAAAUGUUGAUGGGGAAUCCAACCCCAAAUCUCUAGCCCCUAAAGAGCCGUAUAGUGCAUAUACUAGUCGAGAAUUUGCAAAAUAUGAAAGAAAAUAUCAUCUCCAAAUCCCCCUUUAAACCAAUGUUUUUAAACUCGGACCGGUCAAUGAACCGGAGAGGUGGCCGGUUCGCGGUUCGACCGGUCCGACCGGUCCAACCGGCCGGUUCAAAGGUUCAUUGUUUUUUUUUUUUUUUUUUUUUUUAGUGUUAAGUACUAAGCAUGUUUCAUUCUACACUUGAACUUUACCAACAUAACUUAAUUUAAGUUAUGAUAAUAAUAAAUUUUCUAAAAGUUAUACAUAAAACAUGGAAUGAUAAAUAUAAUUAAAAUAUCAUAAUUCACCAUAAGUUUUCAUAAAUUCAUUAUAAACAUAAAUAGAUACAAUCCAAAUGUUCACCAAUUAUCACAAAUAAAAACACAAAAAAUAAAUAAAUUAAAUAUUGAAAUUCUUUUACAACCCUUAAAAAAAUCCAUAAAAGAGUUCAAGUUAAGACAAACUAUUUGAAUAGCAAACUUUUAUCAGUGGCAUGAUAAGCAACCACACCACCUUCACAAUUUCAUCAACUUAAGCUGAAAAAGUUAAAAUUUUAUUAUAAAAAUAUAAAUCUAAUUGCUCAAACUAAAAAAAACUAAAAAUUUUUGAAAAACAAAUAUACAGUUAAACACAUAAAAAAUUAAUUGCUACUAAACAUUACUAAUUAACAUGUUAUAUUAAAUUCAAUGAUCCUAUACCAUUAAUUAUUUUAAAUUCAAUUAUCAAUAGCUUCGAUUAUGUGCCAACUACCAUAUUUUUGACCAGCCCAAUGUUAUUAUUUGUAAUUCCUACCCAAUUCCUACACGGAUGUGCACUACUUUUGCAAAAAUUUCAUCCUUAAUUAAUCGAAUAAAAAUAAAACAAAAAUGAGGGAAACAUAUGAAAAUUGAGGGGAAAAAGAAGAAAAUGCAAAAAAUCAACUAAAGAUAAUAAUAUAGAAAAAAAAACCUUGAAAAGAAAAAAAUUAAACUUACUAAGAUGUUGGAAAACAAGAAAAGUUGAAAUUUUCAACUUGUUUACAAUUUGCUAAAGAUAAUAACCUGAUAAUAAUGGUGAAGACUUGAGAAAAUCUUAUUGUGGAUAUUUGGGUUAAAAAUGGUUAAGAAGAAAAAAUUGAAAAAAAAAUUAGAGAAGAACUUGAUGUUUUAAUAUAUUUUUUAGUCAAGUAGAAUUCUCAACAAACUUAACUAUAGUCUGGCGGUGAGAAUGUCAUAUCCAAAUUUGAAGACCUAGGUUCGAAUCUUAGCUACAUCAUUCUUGAUAUUUUGUUGAAGAAUUUAAAAAAUCGCCGGUUCACGGUUCUUAACGGUUCGCACGGUUCGUCCGGGUUUCAACGGUUCUCCAUGAACUUCCGGCUUUAACAUUAGACCGGACCGGUGACAUGGCCGGUUCGCGGUCCAACCGGUCGAACCGGCCGGUCCGGUCCGGUUCUGAAAACAUUGCUUUAAACUUGUUUUCUUCCCUCUCUCAUUCAAGAAUUAAAAGAUUUUCUCAGACAAUUACAAGUUGUAUUUAUAUGCUAAAACCUAUCGGGACUGGUUAGAAAUUUCUGAAAAUUGUUAUAUGCACGAUUUAAAUUUCAAUAUUUUGCUAUCUAAUACUACAAAAAAAAAAGUUUUUGUUGUUCUUUGGUUUUGCACAAUUAAUUAAUGGGAAGAUCCACUUUUUAUUAUUAUCCUUUUUUUUGGGGUUACAUUCCCCCCUCCCUCCUUAGAGAUUCUCUUUUGGACAACAAAAGAAAAAUAAAAACAUAAUUUUAGGGUUGUUACACAGGAGCCCCCACUGGUGGUACAAUGCUGCAACUUUCUGAGUCGCACAUUUUGUUUAUCUAGACCACGAUAAACUGCUACCUCCAAAACUAGAUCCAUUUGAUGGUAAAUCAAUUGCUGUCCAAAAUCAGUGCGACCUAUAAAACUUUCUCUGCCCAGAAUUGAUAACCCUACUUUUCAUGCGUGCGUGGGAGGGGUGCUUUAAAUUCAUAAGCUACAACCUUGUCCUCGAUGAGAUUUACUUUUUGCAUUGUUGUUUAUUACUCCACAAGUAGUAGAUUAAAUCCACAAGUGUCCCUUUCCACCAUUCCAUAAUUUCAGUGCUCAUGCCACUCAUUACUGCAAAUCCAUUAAUAUCUGUAGAAAACAGUUGUGGUAUAGUAUAAAAAAUUCAAACCUCGGAAUCGGGACACCAACAUUAUAUAUAUAUAUAUAUAUAUAUAUAUGACUGAUAAUGGAGUUUAUUUAAUACUUAGUCUGGUUAAAAUCAUUCUUCCUCAACAUAAUUAUUGAUUUCCGUGUUUCAUUUAAUACUUGGUCUCCACAUUCCUACGAGCUGCUUGGGAGCUAAGAAAAACCAAACACCACUUUCUCUAAAUAAUAUGGAAAACUAAAAAAGAGAGAGAGAGACCUGUCUUUGGCAAUUAUCUCCCGAAUACAUCUUCUUCUUCUUCCAUUUUAACCUCCUCGACGUCAAUCCCUUGAUACAAGACAUUGCUCGUAAACUAAGGAAAUAGAUAGAUUGCAUAAGCACAAAACUUGAAAUUCUUGCAUUUGGCACUGUGUGGAACAGCGCCGUUCUGAAGUUGAAAUGAGGCUCAUCAAUCUCAGAUCCCGACUCCAUCACUUGACUAAAAUUAGACAAUCGAAUAAGUCUCCCUCGGGGAUAGCUACCACAAACUUGCCACUUUACGUGGCUGGUCUUCUGUCUUCACGGGAUAACUCGAACGGUCCGCUCCCCCUCCUUAAGGUAUGGCGAACUUCCUGACUUGUCCAGAGUUCGAGUCCCGCUGUUAACGUGCUCGGUGUGGAGUGGGGCCUCUUCUGCAGGCCGCAGGGGAUUAGUCAGCCUCGUAAGGAUUGACCCAAACACCCAUGUGUUGACAAAAAAAAUAAUAAUAAUAAUAAGUCUCCCUCUCUCUCUCUCAUUUAUACAUUUGAAUGAUUGAGCUCUCUUUUGAUAUUUGACCAUAACCAACCGGGGUAGUUAAAACCAGGCACCCAUCACCGCUGUUUGGAUAUUUUGUCCGGGUCUAAAAGUCGGGGACCUUCAACUAGUGUUAGAAAUUGUCAAGACACAUACAUAACGAAAUCUACACGAGAGAGAGAGAGAGAGAAUUGAAAAUUUUCUUUUAAAGUUUAAGUGGAAGGUCUCAAGUUUUCAAGACACCCACUUCUCAGUAUCCAUUUCUCCCUCUGAAAAGCACUGGGCUUGAGACAAUGCUGCCUGGGGAAACCUUAAAAUGAAUGGUGGAUUCAGGAUUCUCGCAGAUUAACUUGGCAUUCCAUUAGUGAGUAGGCAAACAUAUGAGACAUCCAAAUUUACUUAGGUUCCGUUUUUUUUUUUUUUUUUUUUUGUUUUUCCAGACGGAGGGAUAUCCGGGUCACCGGGUAAACCGAACCCGACUAAUCCCCCCGACCCGAGAGGAGAGGCCCUGUCUCCUCGAGCAUGUUAACCCUGGGACUCGAUCCCUGGUGGGGGAGAUGGACAACGGUCGCUGAGGACAAAGGUUCCGUUUGAAUCGCUAUUUUUUAGAGUUUUGAUAAAAAUAUGUUGUAAUAAUUUGAUAUAUAUCAAAUAAAACAAAUGAUUGAAAAAUUUGUUCGCCAAAAAUAUAAAAAUUUUUCUUAAACAACUUAAAUUUUCUUCUCUAGAAAAAAGUUUAAAGUGGAUAAAGAUUCCCUAAAGCCUGCUUAUAAAUGGGCUUUGAGGAUUCUAGAACCCAAUCUUUAGAUGAGAUGAUUGGUCCUUUAGCCUUUUAAGACCAAAUUAGUUUCAAUUUAUGGAUUUUCUUGUUCCUGUUUUGGUAUGACCCCCAUUAAAUUGGAAUUCUACAACUUCAUUGACAACUCAUGUGUUCUUUACCCUAAUUUUAUAUGAUGGGACACCUUUAAAUGGAUUUACCGGCAAUACGCUUGGAAAUACGGUACAAUUGUAUAAUUGUUGUACAUUUUAAAGGAUUUGAUGUAUAUUUAUAUUUCUUUGUUACAUACCUAAAUUUUGUUCUUGUAAGCCAACUCAAUAAAUUAAUACAACUACAACUGUAAAACUGUAAAUGUACACUACCUUCCGAAAAAGUACAACAAUUAUGCCAUAUGCAUCAUAUGGUCACCUGCACCGGCUCCCAAGCUCCUUUAAAUCUGCUUUAAGACUAAAUGAUGUCCAAUUAUGUACCUUAGCUCUGGUUUAUCUCCAAUUUCCCUUUUGACCUUUCGAAGGUUCGACUUUCUUGUUCUUGCCCAUUCUUCAGGUUCUUAACUUCUCGUUCUUCUUUGUAGAACAUGACUUCGUUGUCAUUCUUCAGGUUCUCAACUUCUUGUUCUUCUUUGUACAACAUGACUUUGUUGUUAUUAUCGUUCUGUAUGAAUCUUUUCUUUAUUAUUAUUAUUUUUUGUUCUAAAGGUAUGAAUACUUGUCGCGAGUUUUAGCAACAAAAUUCUCUCAACUCAUUUUUUAAUAUCACGUACAUUAUAUCGCUGCAAAAACUUUAAAAACUUGCAAUCCAAAUAGACUGGACCGAGUGAAUGAAGUUAAAUAAAUUGAACAAGAAACUAUGCAUAUUCAAUCGCUAGAACCAAACAAAGUGACGAUUUCAUCAUCUCCUUUGCUGUAUAAACAUUGUGACAUUCCAUAUCUACAUAGUUCAGUGUAAGUGUCGUGACAGAUAAAUUCUUCAUUCGGCAAGUUGUGUAUACUUGAUUCUUUUUUCCAAUUGUAAAGACCAAAUUUAAUUACAAAUUCUUUAUGCACAACACACACACACACACACUUAAGGUCCCUAUAGCCAGUUGAAAUUGAUAAAGAGAGUGAAAAGGCUCCACAUUUGAUUGAUCAUUCAAGUCAUUGCCGUUGAAUACAUUAAUUCUAUGGCUUGAGGCAUAAGACUUGCUCCUUGUGCAUUGGGUGAUCAGGAAGCAAGCCUCACAAUCAAAGAAGUCAAGAAACAAAGAAUACACAUUUGUUGUUAGUAUAUUCAUAGAAACAGAAUUGUUCAACUUUCUAAGUUCUAACCUACUUUGAAAAUUUCUUACAAGUUUUCCAAAACUCCGGUUGCAUUUGGAACUGUACAGGAUCAAGUAAUGUAUAUACUCUAGCUUUCCUCCAAAUUUGUAAACAAUCAGUCCUUGCUAAAAGCAAGUUAUCGACUAGAGACAUGCAGUCCUGUAUAAUCAGCACAAACCUCAAUCUUGAAAUGUAUAUGGUUCCUUCUAUCUCAAACUUAGAAAAGCUGAACUUGAUAUUCUCCUUCUCCAAAAAAAAAAAAUAAUAAUAAUAUAUAUAAACAUGAAAAUAAAAACAAAAAUAGAACUCCUCCUUCUCCAGUUGAAAACUUCUUGAAUUUUCUCUAAUGUUGGUUGUAAUUAUUUGACAAUCGAUCCAAAUUACUUGCAAUACUAUGAAGAUUCGCGCUGGAGCUAGUAUAUUACUGUAUUUGUUAAAGCCUGGUGGCCUACGUCUGUUUAGAGAUUGCUUGUGAAGAACGUGUGUGAAAUACUGUGAAAGUCGUUGGUAGAUGGGAAAAUAUUACUUAGAAUGAGCCAUCACCUUAAGUAAGAGUUGGACACGAUCAAACUUGUAAACCCAGGCCCCCAAGCUGCAUGUUCUGCUAUCCGACGGCCACUGGUGUACUUGCAACUUUGCCGAUGAAUUAUGACAGCAAUACAUGAACUUCGGGGCGAUUUGCUGCGUGAUCCAACUUGCCAACUUCUUUUGGCAGAUUUUCAUCGAAACAUCACCCAAAGAAAAAGAAAAUAGAUAUAUACUUUUGCCAGUCUGUUCAACAAUUUAUGGCUGGUUCUUAGAUUAAGAGUUGUAGGCUUGGGAAUUUUUUUUUUUUUUGGUGUGUGGUUUGCCUGAGAUGAAUGAUACAUUCUUCAUUUUAUAACACUUAACUGUUUAUUACAUAUUCAAGCAUCCCUUUGAAGCAGGAAAUAAAACUUAAGGCAAUUGCAAGAUUUCCGUCACAACCAUUGUGACCUACAAGGUUUUGUAACACUGAAACUUCGAAGAGAAUUAACAACUUUUCAAGAUCUUUCGGUUUAAUUGGAUGAGCUUGGUAGUAAGUUACUAAUCGCUGGCGCUCCUGACAAAUUAGAGCAAUUGCUGGUUAGGAAAGUCAAACACAGAAAGUAUUAACUCAUUUAGCAAAGAGGAUAUAUAUGACUAAUGACUGCCACUAAACAAUAAUAAUUUACAAUGUACAAAUUCGGUUAAUGAAUCAUUUGGCCGACUCUAAUAACACAGGCGAGGGAUGGUUAUCUCGCAGAAACGAAGAACUUGUUCUCCUGAAUAACUUCAAUGAAGUGGAUGGACUCCAAGUCUCCAACAGAGUUUACAUGUUAUCCACACAAUUAUGUAAGAAAUUUGGAUCGAUCAGUUAGAUAAUCUUCGUUUGUGUUACGGGGAAAAUAUCCAGAUCCGGCCUCCUUGAUAUGAACACGGUAUGGUUGACCAUUAAUAUGUAUCAUCCUAACAUCAAAAUCCAGAAGGUUCACAAGAUUCAAAAACUGCAUUCAUGAGGUCAGCCAAAUUGGAACAGGCCAUGAGAAGAAGCUGACACAUUUUGAAGGAAGACACAAUUGGCGGUUUGAUAGAACAUUUCGAGACAUAUAGCAAAAGCAAGUUCUAGAGAAGGUGACAACAAAGGUGGAAAGAUUGACAAAAAAAAAAUUCUCAGCAUAUGAUCCCUGAUGACGACGUGAAGGUGACAAGAAUCACUUCCUUUUUUUUUUUUUUGUUGAAUCGAGAGUCACUUCUUUUGGAAACACUUUUCCUAUCAGAAGUUUAAUGACACAUUGUCUUUAGGCCGUAUAUAGGGCCAAAAUUAUCUUAGUAAGUAACCUAAAUAUGAAACGGUAGACAAAUAUUCAGGUGUCUCCACGUGGACCCAAAAUUUGAGUCUUGUAGUUAUUUUUGUAUUUGAAAGUUGUUGGGUUAAGUUAUCAAUAUUUGCAUGUUAACGUGGCGUAUAAUCUUACGUUCCAUAUAGCUGUAUCAACCCAAGAAAACCUGCAAGGGAAGCAGAGGUUUGAAUAUAAAUAUGUACCAUGCACAAAGAGGUAGUUGCAAACUGAUAAACGGCCUCAUUCUUUCAUUAGACAACAGUCAAUCUACCUUCAUCUUACCCCCUUUCUAAUCCUUAUAAGCCUUGUGAUUGUUGCAGAAAUAUCUGAUUCCAAGUUUCUUCACAAAAAUCAUUAGCGAAAAAAAUAACAAAAACCAACCUGACGAAUGGAGUCUGCUCUUUCCGAGCUCGAAGGGACCCUUGUAAAGGAUCCUGAUCCAUUUUCCUACUUCAUGUUAGUAGCUUUCGAGGCAUCAAGCAUAUUUCGAUUUGCUUUCUUGCUAAUUUUAUGGCCAGUUAUCCGUUUGCUGGAGAUUUGGGGACAAAGAGAUGCGGGCCUAAAGUUGAUGAUUUUUGUUGCCACGGCUGGGGUGCCUAUAUCCGAGAUCGAAGCCGUGGCAAGGGCAGUGUUGCCCAAGUUUUACUUUGAUGACAUUGAUAUGGAUGCUUGGAAGGUCUUCAGCUCCUAUGACAAGAGAAUUGUGGUGACUAAAACCCCGAGGAUUAUGGUGGAGAGGUUUGUGAAAGAGCAUUUGCGAGCUGAUGAUGUUAUUGGGAGUGAACUUUCGGUCAAUCGGUUUGGAUGGGCUACGGGUUUCAUCAAAGAUGAUUUUGAUUCAAUCUCCGACCGCGUUUCUGAAUUAUUCGAAGAUGAACAACCUAGUUUGGGCCUAGGAAGGACAGAAUAUUCUGGCUCUGAAUUCUUACACUUGUGCAAGGUUGGUGAAUACAAAAUUCCUAAACUUAGUUUCUUCAUCACCUAUCAGAACUAUUUAUUCAACUAGUCAGACCAUAUCUGAGUUGAACUGGAAGAAAAAAGGGGGUGGGGGACGUUACUUGCAUAAUAGUUAAAUAACAUUACUGUUUGCCCACGUAUGUGCUAAAAUUUGCUGGACAAUGGCUUGUAAACAGGAACAACCUCAUCCGCGAAUCACCAGCAACAAGAAACAUGACCGCCAGUUCAUCCGCCCACUGCCAGUGAUCUUCCACGAUGGCCGGCUAGUGAAGCGGCCAACACCAUCAACUGCCCUCCUAAUUCUCUUAUGGAUUCCUCUGGGAAUCAUUCUCGCUGCAAUUCGCAUUGUCGUUGGCCUCAUGCUUCCCAUGAAAUCUAUUCAACGUAUGGCUCCUCUAUUCGGUGGCAAAGUGAUGGUGAAAGGAAAACCUCCUCCGCCGCCAUCUGGCUCCACCUCUGGAGUGCUAUUUGUCUGCACGCACCGAACCUUAAUGGACCCCGUCGUCCUCUCCGCCGUCCUCCAUCGUAGAAUUCCAGCAGUAACAUACUCCAUUUCUCGCUUUACCGAGAUCUUAUCCCCUAUUCCAACUGUCCGCUUGACGAGAAUCCGAGACAUAGAUGCUGAAAAGAUUAAACAACAACUGGAAAAGGGAGAUUUGGUCGUCUGCCCUGAAGGAACAACGUGUAGAGAACCCUUUCUAUUGAGGUUCAGCAAACUUUUCGCAGAACUAACCGACCGAAUAGUUCCAGUGGCCAUGAACUAUAGGGUUGGGUUUUUCCAUGCAACCACUGCUAGGGGUUGGAAAGCUUUGGACCCCAUAUUUUUCUUCAUGAAUCCCAGACCAAUUUAUGAGGUAACAUUUUUAAAUCAGCUCCCUGUGGAAGCAACCUGCUCUUCAGGUAAGAGCCCACAUGAUGUUGCUAAUUAUGUUCAGAGGAUCUUGGCUGCCACACUUGGUUUCGAGUGUACGAAUUUCACCCGCAGGGAUAAAUACAGGGUUCUUGCUGGCAACGAUGGGAUAGUUUCACAAACAUCCACUGCCGAAAGCCUCAAGAAAUUGAUGAGCGGAUUCAAGCAGGUUGUGGGGACUUUUAAGCCUUUCAUUAACUGAAUACUGUGCUGGCUCGUUAUUGUAAAUUUUGUUUACAUGCUAUAUAUUCUUACCCUCAAUUUCUCCUGUUUUGUACAAAAAGCGAGGUCUGUAUUCUUUAUCUUUUUUGUUUGAGCAAUUUCUCUUUUGUACUGGAUUUUUUUCGCUGAAGUGUUGAAUAAUGUACUAGAAUGACUGAUGUUACUGGUAAUGUUAAUUAUUCAGUUGGGAUAUAAAUAUAUUUUUUAUUUAUUUAUUUUUAUCUUUUUGUCGCAGUUGUGUUAAAUAUAUAUGGUGGAGUUUACCUUUACAGCCCCAGCUGAGCUUUUAACGAAUUUUUAGAAUCUUUAACCUUCUUAUUAGAGGUAAACAACUCUCACUGAGAUCAUAAGAUCCCACCCCUCCACUGUUUGGAAAAAAAAAAAAAAAAAAGAGUUCAUAAGAAUUUUUAAUUAACCACCAUAAUUACGGAGAUUAUGUCCUGGACCCUUAUUAUACCACACGAGAUACUCAGUGCCACUCUUCUAGUGGCAAUUCAGUGUCAUUUUUAUAUUUAUGCCAAGUGUCAUGUUUAUUUAAUUUGUCAUGUGCUAUUUAUUUAAAUUUCUUCUACCAUCAUGUGAUAAGUAGAAUUGGCACUGGAUUUAGCACCGAGUAGUGGCAUAGAGGAUCCCAACUGCUAUUAUACAAGGUAAAACUUUGUCUUGGUGCCCACUACAGAAUUGCGAAAACCUGAUGUAUAUAAAGGAAGUUAAGAGCUCUUAACAUUGCUAAAAAUAAAAUAAAGAAGAUUCAAAGUUUAUGGAAAACUAGUAUAUGCUCUUGAUUGUUUACUUGUUUAAGAAAUAUGACAAAUAUUAACGCUCCUGGCUAGCUAGACUAAAAAAAAAAAAAAAACUACCGGCCUUUGUAUUCCCUUUUUUUUUUUUUUUAAUAUGCGAUGAUGUGAAGCAAUUACUUUAGGUUUCUGCAGCAAAGUAUUGUUUUUUUUUUUUUGAACCUCAGCACCGAAGUUUUCAAGCAUUAUUAUUAUUAUUAUCUUUUCCUGUAGCUAUUGUACUUUAUUAAAUUGAUCUGCAACUCAACUUCCCGGCAGUAUCUAUUCGUCAAAGAUCAUGGACGCAAGAGAAGCGAAAAAUACAAAAGCAUUGGCUGCCUGAUUGUGCUCCGAAGCCCUUUAAUACCUGUCUUCAGAUUCAAAAGUGUCUAUGAACGAACAUGAGAUCGCAACCUCUCAAGCACUUCCUUUGAGGAAGCUCACAUCUACUUCCAGAUCGAAGGCAUCAGAGGUGCCAGAGCUCCUGUUAGGCUUCUUUCACUUCAGGAGAUAUCCGUCUUGAUGAGAGUCCCUUGCAAUAAUGAAAACUGCAUGCAUGCAGGCCCCCUAGGAUUUUAGAAGUUCUUCUACAAUCAAAUAUUGAUUUCUUGGUGUAAAUAAAUAUAAAGAUUUACAUUCCUAUUUUUCUAAAUAUAAAUAUGAUAUAUAAAUGUCGUUACUAGUAGCAUACAGCUGCUACAUGGUAGAAGGAGCCACCUACUAAAGGUAAAAUUUUCACGCCAUUAUACAAUAAUUAUAAGGCCAAUUAAUGCCACCUCUAAGCAAUGUUUUUAAACUCGGACCGGUCAGUGAACCGGAGAGGUGGCCGGUUCGCGGUUCGACCGGUCCGACCGGUCCAACCGGCCGGUUCAAAGGUUCACUUUUUUUUUUUUUUUUUUUUUUUUAGUGUUAAGUACUAAGCAGGUUUCAUUCUACACUUGAACUUUACCAACAUAACUUAAUUUAAGUUAUGAUAAUAAUAAAUUUUCUAAAAUUUAUACAUAAAACAUGGAAUGAUAAAUAUAAUUAAAAUAUCAUAAUUCACCAUAAGUUUUCAUAAAUUCAUUAUAAACAUAAAUAGAUACAAUCCAAAUGUUCACCAAUUAUCACAAAUAAAAACACAAAAAAUAAAUAAAUUAAAUAUUGAAAUUCUUUUACAACCCUUAAAAAAAUCCAUAAAAGAGUUCAAGUUAAGACAAAUUAUUUGAAUAGCAAACUUUUAUCAGUGGCAUGAUAAGCAACCACACCACCUUCACAAUUUCAUCAACUUAAGCUGAAAAAGUUAAAAUUUUAUUAUAAAAAUAUAAAUCUAAUUGCUCAAACUAAAAAAAACUAAAAAUUUUUGAAAAACAAAUAUACAGUUAAACACAUAAAAAAUUAAUUGCUACUAAACAUUACUAAUUAACAUGUUAUAUUAAAUUCAAUGAUCCUAUACCAUUAAUUAUUUUAAAUUCAAUUAUCAAUAGCUUCGAUUAUGUGCCAACUACCAUAUUUUUGACCAGCCCAAUGUUAUUAUUUGUAAUUCCUACACGGAUGUGCACUACUUUUGCAAAAAUUUCAUCCUUAAUUAAUCGAAUAAAAAUAAAACAAAAAUGAGGGAAACAUAUGAAAAUUGAGGAGAAAAAGAAGAAAAUGCAAAAAAUCAACUAAAGAUAAUAAUAUAGAAAAAAAAACCUUGAAAAGAAAAAAAUUAAACUUACUAAGAUGUUGGAAAACAAGAAAAGUUGAAAUUUUCAACUUGUUUACAAUUUGCUAAAGAUAAUAACCUGAUAAUAAUGGUGAAGACUUGAGAAAAUCUUGUUGUGGAUAUUUGGGUUAAAAAUGGUUAAGAAGAAAAAAUUGGAAAAAAAAUAAAGAGAAGAACUUGAUGUUUUAAUAUAUUUUUUAGUUAAGUAGAAUUCUCAACAAACUUAACUACAGUCUAGCGAUGAGAUUGUCAUAUCCAAAUUUGGAGACCCAGGUUCGAAUCUUAGCUACACCAUUCUUGAUAUUUUAUUGAAGAAUUUUAAAAACCGCCGGUUCACGGUUCUUAACGGUUCGCACGGUUCGUCCGGGUUUCAACGGUUCUCCAUGAACUUCCGACUUUAGCAUUAGACCGGACCGGUGACAUGGCCGGUUCGCGGUCCAACCGGUCGAACCGGCCGGUCCGGUCCGGUUCUGAAAACAUUGCCUCUAAGUAAAAUAUCGGUACAAGAAUGGUAACAUGAUGAAUUUCUCACAUAAAACUCCCCUCCCUCUACCGGUCACUUGUUCUCUCUACAAAGUUACUCCAUUAAAAGUGACCUCGGGCUUGAUCCCAUCCCCUCCUUUGUUUUUUUUUUUUUCUCUUUAUGUAGGAUGUGCAUGACAGCUGAACCUUGAAAUGUCGACCUCAUUAGUUCUUGCUACAUAAAAUGAAAUGGCUGCUUCAUAAAAUAAGUAUCAUGCAGCAUGUCUUGGUGUCUUUUUUCCUUUUUCAGUGAACUUGAUGAUAAUGAUCGGGGUGAUCGCGCCAAAGUUAAACCAAAAAAAGUACGUUUUAAGAAGAAAAUUUUGUGCCGGAUCGUGAUUUGUGAGCCUUUUCCGUUGCUAAAAAUAUACUCAGAUACUUAUGAAAUUGAGGCCGUAAUUCGUUUGACUAAAUAUCUGCCAUGUAUGAUGUGAUGCGGGUGGAAUCCUUCGGACAACGCACAAUCCACAACAUGAUAGCCUGACACGUACUUCGGUAUGUCUUGGAAUCCAUGUGGUGAUGUUACAAUGGGCUUCAGUCAAGUGAGACCCCGUAAGUCCAGUUGGCGCCUUUCUUAUAAUCGGUUAAAAAAAAUAGUGAAAUAUGGUUACCGUUGCAGUUUCCAUAUCAAGAUUUCUUUCAACCAUUGCUAAAGACCUCUCAAAAGCUUUCUUAGCAGGGGAGGAGAAGAGAAGACAGCAAAACAUUUUAAGCACCUGAGUGAAUAAUUAACCAGCAGUUCACGUUGCUAACUAUCUGGAUUGCGUAACGGAUCUUCUGUCCCACACCCUGUGCCACUCUCUGUCUCACUUUUUAUUAUAUUAUUUUUUCUCCUACAUAAACAUCAUGUUUUAAUUCUUUUUUGUUUCCUUAAGAUUCAAUAAGUAUUAAUUAAGUAAAAAAUAAAUACAACAACUUCAAAAAAGUAAUAUAUAAUAGAAAAUUAAAAAAUACAGCAGAAAAUUCAUAAAAAAUCUCAUUUUUUAUGCAUUUUGAUUUUUUUGAGUUUGUUAAAUUUUGUGUAUUACUCAAUUAAUAGUUAUUGGAUCUUAAGAAAACAAAAAAAAAUUAAAACAUAAUGUUUAUGAAGGAGAAAUAGCAAUAUAAUAAAAAGUGAAACAGAGAGUGGUACAGGGUGUGGGAUAGAAGAUCCGUUGCGGAUUGAUAGUAUAACAUAUUGUACAAAAUCUGCGCCUACUAGAUUCUAGGGACCAAUAUACCUCCGUCUGUAGUGCGAUUAUGCAGUCACCCAAAUGGAUUUCUUUACGUACAAAACAAAUGUGAAAAUUUUUUAAAAAAUCAAUAAAUUGUUAAUUAGAUUAGAAUCCUUCAUCACUUAACAUUUGUGUAUAUACACAUAUGGCCUCAAAACAUAAUAUUACUUGUGUUUGGAUAGAAAGUUAUUUUGAAAAAAUAAUAUCAUAAUACUUUAUAUAAUAUGAUAUACGUAAGAUAAAAGAGUAAUUAAGAAAAAUAAAGGGUUGAUUGAAUAUAACAAAAAAAUUAUUUACUCAAAUUAUAACAAAAAAUUAUUUACGGUUCCGUUUGGAUUAACUGUUUUUAUGGGUGUUUUUGAAAUAUUUUACUGGGUGAAAAACUUUUACUGUAGAUGUUUUUAAUGGUGUUUUUGAAAAUGUAUUUUGAAAUAUUUUUACAAAUUAAAAUUUUAAUGAGAAGUUUUUAUAAUUUUAUAAAAUCUUACAACCACACACCACUACUCCAGCCUUCCCCCCUCCUCCCUCCUCCUCACCCUCCUCCCCUCUCUGGUCGUGACUAGAAAAUGGUUGCCACUUGCGAUCUGAGAAGGGGAGAGGGGAAGGGGGCAGCGAGAGAGACGUGAGGAGGAAAGAGGAGGGAAAGGGAUGGGAGAAAAAGAGAGAAGGAAGAAGGGAGAAAAAGAGAGAGAAGAGAAAGGGGAGGGGAAGGAGGGAGGAGAGAAGGGAAGGGGCGUCAGGUGAUGGUGUGAUUUUUGUGAUGGUUGAUAGUGGUGGAGGUAUACAUUUUUUUGUAUAUUUAAAAUUAUUUUUGAUAUAUUAUAUAAAUAUAUUGUUUUAAAAUUAUUUUUAUUUAUAUAUUACCAUAACAUAACAUCGUAUAUGAAAAUUUUAUUUUUAAAAAAUUGAGCAGUCCAAACGAAUACAUUUGGGUUUGUUUUAGAAGUAACGUAAACAAUCAUGAAGAUGACUUUCCGGUCAAACCGCUGAGUCAAUGUUCAAAGAUAUAUUUUAGGUGAUCUAAUGGAGAGAAAAUGAGGUUAUACUUGUAAGCAACGGCACUGCCUGUAAAGCCCACGCUCUGCAGAUUCUUUAUGCGAAACUUUUUGGAGGGAUUAUUUUUCUCUUGGAGUUUUCUUUCACAAGUCACAAAUGAAGAACGUCUCGAGUCAUCAAAAUACAAGAAUUAGCUCAUGACGUAGAAUCCAAAUUUAGAAUUCUAAUAAUAAUUAGUGCGUGCAGAGUUACAGAAUUAAUACUUUUUGACAACUUUUAAGGUUAUAGAAUCCAAAUUUUAGGGUUUUGAUAAUACUUUUCGACAAUUUUGUACUCUAAUCUUUUGACUGCAAAAAUGCUUCGGACUAACUUCAUAGUCUGGCUCUCGAUACCAAUUGUCGAAUUCUAAAUUUAUAGAUUAGAUGGAUGAGUUGAUUUAAAAUAUGUCAACAAAUCCAGUACUGUUCCAAAUCGAAUUUGUUCUCAUUUGAUUUUAUAGUAUUGCUUCGUUCUUCUUAGUGCUUUCCGGUCAGCAUCAUAAACUAUAUGAAGUUUUACAUAAAAAAAGAGAAUUAGAAAAAAAAAUAUCAAGGAAUAAGAAUAAUCACGCGGUUUGGUUGCCUAUUUUGGUUUCUCCUUUUUGGGUUAAAUCGAUAAAUUAAUUAUUUCAUUCUCUGUUCCUAUAUUAUUUUUUUGCGGUAUGAUGUAUGUGAGAUAAAAAGGUGAUUAAAAAUGUAAAAAUGUGAAUUGAAAAAUAUGUUUAUGAUGCAAACGAAAUAUUAUUUUGAAAAAUUUUGCUAUCCAAACAAACCUGUUAACAUAAAUCCUUGGUUAUAUGCGAUUUCUUUCUCUCUUUUUUUUUCACUUUUCUUUGGAUGCCAGAUGCAUUAGCAAACGUAUUGAACAAGUUCAGAAAUCAAUUUUACAGCAUAUAUGAUUAAUUUGUCCAAAAUUCAUAGCUUUCACCGUAACUAACUAAUCACAAACUUUUUAUUUGAAAAACAAAAUCGAAACUGCUUUUUCUGAUAUAUGCUUUCUUUGUGAUUUGUGAAUCUCGGAUAACUUGAAUCCAUCUGUUUAUUUGACGUUUAAUAGUUGUAUUGAAUUGAAAGAGCGAGAAUUAAUAUCUUAGGAGUAUAAACCAAUGAAAUGCCGGAAUAUGCUGUAGGUGAUGGACGACUGAAAAGUCACCAUCAAAGCUGUGAGUCACGACUCACGACUCACGAGUCACCACCACCAACUAAGCAUAACGGGCCCAUGGAUCCAAUUCCAUCCCUAAGGACGCAUAAGCAUGAGGCAUGCGAUCCAAUCCAUGUAGCGACAAUUGGCGUUGGACAAGGACGACUGACUAAAGCCACCCAUAGCCACGUUUCGAAUUAUGGACUUCGCUCUAUUUUGCUUUUUCUUUUCUUUUUUUCUUGUAUUAAUGCACUCCUCGUGGUAAAACAAAAAAGAAAAACAUUAAAACUGGCCCCUUUUUUGGUUGUGUGCUCGCGUGUGCGUUUGUACACCUAGACAAUUUGUACAGUGAAAUGGGUGUGUUUGGAUAGAUAAUUAUCUUAAAUAUUAUAUUACUUACAUUAUAAAUAUAUUUAUUAAUUGAUUUUUGUGUUUUUAAUUAUUUUUUAUGAUCAUAUACAUCACAUUAAAGAAAGUGUUAUAAUAAUUUUUUGAAAUAAUAUUUUUAAUAAAUUUUGUAAUUGAUUUUUGCUAUUUGAUUCAUGCAAGGAAACAACAAAAUUUUCUAUCAAAUUUUGAAGGGCAAAAGUUUUAUUUCCAUACUUUUCCAAAAAAAAAAAAAAGGUGCCAUUUUAAUAUGCAUAAGGUAAAUCCUGAAUUCAAAUAAUCGUCAAAGCAAUACAAUAUUUAGAAACUGACGUCGUCCACUCUAUUUCUGCUUUAGAAAAAAACUAGUGUGAAUACCUGUGCUACGCACGAUGCUGACAUUAUUGAAAAAAUUAAAAAUAAAAUGAUGAAUAAAAAAAGUUAAAAAAUUAUACCAACACAAUUAAAAUGUAAUACCUGUCUAACAAUAGUUUGAAAUAUGAUAAAAUGUGUAUAUCAUUCAAGAAUUGCCUUUUUUCGGAAGAUAGAUCCUGAAAAAAAUAAUAGAAAUUUAUAUUACAAAAUGAAUGAUAUAUGAAUAAAAAUGAAUAUAAUUGAAUGUUGUUAAAAUGAAAUACUUACAAAUAUUAUGCAUUCGAUUUGAUAAUCUUGUAUGAAGGUGCGAACACUCUUCACACCAAUCAACUUUUAGUACGAAAGUCAAAAUUGGUGAUUUAAUUAAUUCUGUUGAAUUUUGUAGAGUGCGUACCGCAAAUGAAAAUGCACGAUCUUUGCAUGAAUUAAUUCGUUGAUUGAACAACCUAUCACCAUUUUCCUGAAAAUUAAGUACGUACAAAAUUUAAAAUUAGUGUAUUUUUUUACAUAGUUUAUAAAUAGCAUUAUAAAAAAUAAAUAUAUAUCAAGAAAUUCUACCUUCCUUUGUAAUUCUCUGAGAUAAGUAGCAUCACAACUAAAUACGAAUCGUGUAUGUCUGUCUUGUAGAUUAAGAUGCAUGUUACCACUGGAAUAUCUUAUUUGUAUGUUAACAUUGUACCUGUUUUGACAAAUAAAAUGUUAUAUACAAUACAGAAAAAAUAUGUUGAAAGUAAAAGUACAUGAAAUUAGUUAUCUAACAACAGUGUCGACCAAGUCAUUACAAUGCAAACCAAAGUGACCAAGAAUCAGAUAAUGACAAUAUUUUUGGUGAUAAGAAACAUUAACGAAUUUGAUGUAAGAAUCCCAACUAUCCCAACUAAAGGUACAGAAACUGUCAUCAUGACAAUAUCAAAUACUAUACAUAGUUAUCGAAUUCCAAGAAUCCAAACUAAGUAGCAAACAAUCUGAAAAUGUAAAUUUUCUAUCAUACUCCCUCCGUCCCGUUUUGUUAGUCUUGUUUUCCUUUUUCUUCUAUCCCAAAUUAUAGUCCACUUUCCUAUUAAGUAAUGUAGUAAUCUUUCAAAUUGUAUAAAAUACCCUUAUUAAAUAUCUUGUUAUUAAAUACUAACCCACUACAUUGAAUACAUUGAGUUUUUCCAAUACAUAGAUAAAUGAAAAGUCUAUCUUUGUUAUUCUUUGAAAUUUAUUUAUAUCAGGAGGGAAACAAAUAAUGUCAUCAUUAUUUACAAAAUCAUGAGUGAAAUUUUGAAAAAUCAUCCAUAUUCUCACAAUUUUUCUGAUGAAACACCAACAAAAGAAUAUGAUCUCAUCUCAACGAGUCAAGAAUGUGCACAAGUUGUCUUUGAAAUGCAGAGGAUUUUUUUGCCCAAGUUGAAAUCGGUGAAGCCAUCAAUUGACGUAAAUGUUCCAUCACAAGAAGAUAGUUUUGCUCCUACAACUGAAGAGCAUGAAUCUACUUUUUCUCAAGUGCAAGAAUAUUUUCAGCCCAAGUUCAAAUCGGUGAGACCAUUAUUGGAUUUAAAUACUCUACCAAAAGAAGAUGGCUAUGUAUCUGCUUCUCAAGAACGUGAGCGUGUUGUUUCUCAAAUGUUGAAUCCACUAUUGGCGGAUGAUUGAAAAUGAAAUGGAGUAUUAGGCGCCUGAAAUGGAUUAUGAAAUGGAGUAUUAGCAGCAACUGAUAUUUAUUGGCACUGUUGGCAGUAAUUGAAACAAUCAUGGUGCACUAUUGGCGGUAACUGAUAUUUAUUGGCACCAUUAGUUGUAACUGAUAUUAAUUGGCACUCUUCGUGAUUAGCAUAAGGGUAUUUUAGGAAAUUAUUAAUCUAAAUUUAUGUUUCUAACCAAAUUAAUUACACUUUCUUAAUUUGUGUGAAAAAAAAUCAAGACAAACAAAACGGGACGGAGGGAGUAAAAAAUUUCUCAUAUCAAAUCCCAUCAUUUUUGUAUCUGGAGGGAACUUGAUUCCAUCAAAAGUCAAAUACCAAUACUUGUGCCAUAGGAAAAAGAUGACAUACAAACAGUGAUGAACAUCUAUUGCUCUGAUCAUAAAAUAAAUUUUUAUGCUUACUGUUGCAUAAUAAGUUGUUAUUGAAUCAUGGAAAAAAUAAAUCUAAAACGAUGAUCUAUUACAUAACAUUUCACUUCUAUUUAAAGACGAAAAACAAUAACAGCAAUAAUCAAUCGAAAAUAUUAUAUUAUUGGGAAUAAUAUUUUAAAAAAUAAUGGAAAUGCAAAUGUUUAAAGAAUAAACAGUACCGAAAUUUCUAAUUUGAUGAGAACGACGUUUUAAUUGGUAUAGUUGGAAUUUUGUCCUUCGAAUUUGAUGUAAGAUUUCUCUUUCGUCAACGCAAAAUUGCUAAAAGUUUUUGAACUGCUGUGUGGAAUCGUUGCGGUGUACGUUUCGUUUUCUAAACAAAUGGUUCCUCCUUUGUAAUCUUGCGAGUUUGAAAUUUAGUUGUCGUUGAAAUACUUAUAGACAGACAUGUUCCAUAGUGAAAUUAGGUUAAUAGUUAAGAUGGAUACCAUAAAAAAAUUGAAGGAGAUAAUAAAUUCUUGGGAGGUUUAUAAGUCCCUCACAGGACUCCAAAAGUUACCGGCUUUUGGAGUUUCUGUGGGGAGUUAGGUUUAUUUGCCAAAAAUUCUUACUUUCGUAAGAAAAUGUCAGAAAGAAAACUCAUUAUCGGGGGGCUUGGGGGGUCUUUAUCUCUUAGCAGCGGGGCACCCCUGUGGGGUUUUCUAUCCCACAUCGGUAAUGGGGGGGUUGGGGUUUAGGUUUAUAAGUCCCUCACAGGACUCCAAAAGUUACCGGCUUUUGGAGUUUCUGUAGGGAGUUAGGUUUAUUUGCCAAAAAUUCUUACUUUCAUAAGAAAAUCUCAGAAAGAAAACUCAUUCUCGGGGGGCUUGGGGGGUCUUUAUCUCUUAGCAGCGGGGCACCCCUGUGGGGUUUUCUAUCCCAUAUCGGUAAUGUGGGGGUUGGGGUUUAGGUUUAUAAGUCCCUCACAGGACUCCAAAAGUUACCGGCUUUUGGAGUUUCUGUGGGGAGUUAGGUUUAUUUGCCAAAAAUUCUUACUUUCGUAAGAAAAUGUCAGAAAAAAAAAGAUAAUAAAUUCUUGGAAAAAACGCAAGAAAGUUCUCUUAAUUGGAGUGACCACGCAAGAAAGUUGAAUGAGGAUGCUAUGUUUUUUAGAACUUUUAAUUGGAGUGAAAAUUUUAAAUUGGAGGAGUCUUAAUUGGAAUGGAAAAGUGGGGGAAAGUAGGGAAAACGUGAGCAUGAUUAUAGGAUUUUUAGGAGCGGUUAUAGGAUUAGUUAAGAGAUAAAUAUCUAUCUAUAUCUAUAUAAAUUUGAGAAGGGAUUUUUAGGAACAAGCCUCCACAACCCUUCCCACUCUCAACUCUAUUUUCCUAGCAUUUCACAUUUAUCUUAUUUCGUAAAAAAUAUCAUGGGCACAUUACAUCUCCACGUUUCCCUCAAAUAAGGAGUUAACUUCAACUAACACUCCCACGUCCCCUCAAACAAAAAUUUAACUUCCACUUACAUUAAAACUCUAACACUCUCACGUUCCCUCAAACAAAAAACUCUUAAAACCCUUCCAAUCAACUUCCUUCUCGAACCUCUCAAAUUAACUUCAUAAUGGAACAUGGCAGUUUACAGGCAUGUCAAUAAUGCCUGAAUUUCAAACUCGCAAGAUUGCAAAGGAGGAAACAUCUGCUAACAAAAUGAAAAGGACGCCACAACGGUCCCGCACAAGAAUUGGAACAGUUCCAACAACUUUGCGUCGACGAAAGAAAAAUCUCACAUCAACUACGAUGGAUAAAAUCUCGACUACACCGACUCAAACGCCGCGCCAAUCAAAUUAGAAGUUUUGGUACUAUUUAUUCUUUUAAUAUUGAUAUUUUCAUUGUAUUUUCAAUUAUUAAUAAUAUUCUCAAUAUUGUAAUAUUAUUGUUGUUUCCAUACUAAUCCUUGCUGGCUCAAUCAACAAAGUAUGGUACUAUGGCUUUUAUGUGAGUUUAGGCAUUUAGACAUAUAGUUCUCAUUGUAUUAGUAAUUAAUCAGAUUAGUCCCAGAACAUGGUCAUAACUUUGAUUAGGGAAAACGUUAUUUUUUCAUUAAAUGUCUUCCCAUUAAUGCUAUUAUUUCUACACACAAAGCGCUAAAAGUUUAGAACAAAAAUGGAGAUUAAGAUAUUUUCUCCAGUCACCUCGAGUGACUAUCCAGACUUAGAGACAAAUAGCUUGGGAAACUGACGAGGGACUAAUGUAACAUUCUUUUUUUUUCUUUUGAAAAAAAUAUAAAAGUAAGGUAAUGUAAAUUAACUGAAAUAUUAUACUGAACAAGGAAUGCAGUUUGCAUUUAUUGCAGAAGUUUUUGGUGGAAGAUCAUGCUUAAAGUGCUUCACUAUAGCCCUUUAAAUUUGACAAAGAUAAUGAGUAAUUCCCAAAAGUAUACUACGUCCCACAUUAUGGCUGAAAAACUGAUCAUAUCAUGAGUUGUGCUCAUGAUGUGACUUAUGUAGGUUUUCCCCCAAACUGUUAAUAUGGUAGCAUAUUGCUGUAGUACUAUUAAUUCUGCUCACGCAAAAUAGUAGUACUAUUAAUUAUGAGUUGUGAUUUUUGGAGUUUCUUCGUUUCUUUGAAAUAAGAUGUUCUGAAGGUUGACAUUAAGAGAUUACUACUAGCGGGUAGGUUCGUUUUUUGUGUUUUGGUUUUUUUUUUUUGGCAGAUUUUGUGUCUUACUGCAUUACAUGUCCUUGGGCUGCUUAAAUCUGGAUUAUGCUGUAAUUUUGCUAUGAAAAGUUGGAAUCGUGCAAGACAAAAAUGUUGACGAUCAAGAGAAAGAGCAAAAAAAAAAAAAAGGGAAUAGAUUCAAAAAAUAAUUCUUGCAAAAACAUAUGAGACAAUGGCACCUAAGAAUCUUGCAAAACAUUGCUUACGAGAACAUAUGAGACAAUGGCACCUAAAAAUUAAUAUACUUUUUAGGUGUAAUCUUAUGGACAGUAAUCUUAUGUAUCAAAAUAGAAGUUUCGGUACUAUUUAUUCUUUGAAUAUUGACAUUUUCAUUGUAAUUUCAAUUAUUACUAAUAUUUUCAAUAUUAUAAUAUAAUUGUUGUUUCCAUUGUUUACAAGUUUCGGUACUAUACUUCGCUCUUCAAGACAGGCAUGCACGAUUCAUGUUUCGUUGUGAUGUUUCUUAUCUUAGAGAUUUAAAAACAAAGGUAUACAUUAUUUAUAUGUAUAUUUUUUUUACAUAAUAUUAUUUACAAACUGUCUAAAACAAAAGAUAAUUUUGAACUAUGUAUGCUUUUAAUUGUCAGAAAAAUGGAGGUGCAUUGUUCGACCAACACAUUAAUUCAUGCAAAAAUUGUGCAUUCUCAUUUAUAGUGUGAACUCCACAAAAAACAACAGAAUUAAUUAAACCCCCAAUACUGGCGUUCGUACUCAGAGUUGACUGGUGUGAAGAAUGUUCACACCUUCGUAGAAGAUUAUCAAAUCAAAGGCAAAAUGUCUGUAAGUAUUUCAUUUACUUAUCAAAUUAAAUAUUCAAUUAUAUUUAAUUGGACCCUUAUGUCGUUCAAUUUAUGAUAUAGAUUUCUAUUUUUUUUUCAGGAUCCAACCUUCAUCGAAAUGAUCGUUUAUAAAUAAUGGAGAUGUUUUUAUCAUAUAUUGAACUAUUGUUACAAAGUUUCAUUUUUUUAAAUAUACUUUCAUGUGCCCGUGAUUAUAAUAUUUUACUAUUUUUAAAUUCUUCCAUAGAUUGUAAUUUUUUUUAAUAAUGUAGGCACCGUGCGUAGCACGGGUAUUCACACUAGUUUCUUAAAUUGGAGGACUCUUAAUUGGAGUGGAAGAUGUGGGAAAAAUGUGAGCAUGAUUAUAGGAUUUGUAGUAUACUCCAAUCACCGUUGAGGUAAAGUUUGCCUAAAUAAACUUUACAGUUCCUAAUUCCUUGUAAAAAAAGCAAAAUAGUCCUAAUUGGCAUAGCAAGUUACGACAACAUGUCAGUGGCAUCUAGUUCUAAUUUUUUUUGGGUCAAAAUCUAGUCCUAAUUGGUUCUACUGUUUCUUGAUCAUAUUGUAUGCUUCCGAAUUCUACUUAACAUGUAAUAAUUGAUAAUGGUUUAUUCUAUUCUUUCAUGGUAUUGGACAGGCGAAAACCACAUCAGAAGUGUGGUAAAUUUACUAUAAACUCCUAAUAUUAUCUCCCCUAAUUUUUAUAUACUUUUAAAAAAAUUUAAACUUUUGUCAACAAUAAACUAGUCACACAAAUAAAAAAAAAAAGACUGGUCACACAUUUCAUUUUUUGCCCUGAAGAACUCAAUUUAGCAAAUUUCUUAGAAUAAUGGUGAAAAAAAUCAUAACAAUGGAGGAACCUGGGUUUGUUUCUUUUUUUAUUUAUUUAUAUGAAACAGCCUUAUUCAUUUUUAAAAAAUAAAUAAAUUGACCAUCUUACGUUCAUUAAGAAAGAGAAAAUUUUUUGGUCACUGCACAUGGAUGUUCGGCCAUCCUAAAAGGAAAAAAAAAUAAUUGUUCCAUUCUUGCGAUUUUUUUAGGGUUAAAUAUAGUAAGCCUCUUAACUUUAUAUUUAGUUGCACUUUACCCCAUCAACUUUACAUUUAUUUGCACAUUUGUGAUUUUUUUUGAAACAUGAUUGUAAUUUGUAAAGCUCAUUUGCAGGGAUGGUUAUAGGAUUAGUUUAGUGAUAAAUAUUUCUUAAUUAUAAAAAUGUAAAAUUGUAUUAAAAUAGUAUACAAAUGAGUAUUUGUCUUUAAUUAAGAAGUAAAAAAGAUUUAAAGUAUAAAUAACAAACUAUAAACGAUUUAUGAAACAUAUAGUGGGAAAGUUUUAAAUUUUAAAUUUGACUAGUGAUAGGGUUGAUUAUAACCCACUACUUUUUAUGUAUUAAAAUAAAUAAAAAAAAUUAGAAAAAAGAAUGAGAAGUUUGGAAGCCAUUGAGAGGCUUUCUCCUAAAAACCCACUCUGCAAUACAUAGAGGGUUAAAUAUAGUAAGCACCUUAACUUUAUAUUUAGUUGCACUUUACCCCCUCAACUUUACAUUUAGUUGCACAUUUGUGAUUUUUUUGAAACGUGAUUGUGAUUUGCAAAGCACAUUUACAGGGGUGGUUAUAGGAUUAGUUUAGUGAUAAAUAUUUUUUUAUUAUAAAAAUGUAAAAUUGUAUUAAAAUAGCAUACGAAUGAGCAUUUAUAUUUAAUUAAGGAGUAAAAAGGAUUUAAAGUAUAUAUAACAAACUAUAAACGGUUUAUGAAAUAUAUAGUGGGAAAGUUUUAAAUUUUAAAUUUCACUGGUGAUAGGGUUAGUUAUAACCCACUACUUUUUAUGUAUUAAAAUAAAUAAAAAAAUAUAGAAAAAAGAAUGAGAAGUUUGGAAGUUAUUGAGAGGUUCUCUCCUAAAAACCACUCUGUAAUACAUAUAGAUAAAGAUGGUUUUUUUGAGAUAAUAAAUGAGGCUAAUUUUGGAAUGAAUUCGACAAUUCCCUAAUAAUUGACAAUAAAUUCUUUCAUUAAAACAAUCAUGGCUAGUCUAAAAAAUUAACGUACAAAAAGUUAUGGUGACCGAAUGAUUUGGUAUAAUCUCAAGAAAGGUGAACAAAUCUUUGAUGUGUUGUAUAAUUGUGGAAAUUGAAUUUGAAAAUAGUUUCUUAAACGAAAGCAAACAUUUUUCUGUUAUCAUCAUAACACAAUAAUUGAAAUCUAAAAUAUGUGGAGAAGGGGUAUUGGAAAGUCAACUCAGAAAAAAAAAAAAAAGGUACCAGACACUAGAAACUACUAUAUAGAAACAAAUAAAAAGGAGGUGAAAUUUUGGAAAUCGCACGUCAAUCAAUUUACCCGGAAAAUUACUCCUUUACUAAAAAUGAGGAGAGAUUGUGGCCCCAGUGAAAAGGCAAACAAACCAGCAAAGAAUAAUUGAGAAUUAAAACUGGAAUCAAGGAUCACGCCUUUAAAACCAUUUUUUACAUUUUCAAUUUCCCCAGUCACCAAAUUUUGUUGGUCAAACGCUCCACAAAGCGCAGUCUACGCCACGUGUCUUCCCUUCACAGCGUUGAUUUCACGCUAAAUAUCCGUACUCAAUUCUCCCCAAGCGUUCUAUUUCCACUUUUACCCUCGAACCACCCUCUCUUAUACGUCUCUCACCUCAUUCUCUCCAACCAAACACCCCCUUGGCCCCCAUCCUCGCCCCCGGUUGCCCCAUCCUUUCUCUCUUUCUUCGCCGGAAUAUUCCUCCCCGGCCAAUCUACAAAUUCAAUUUUGCAGGCAUAUUUUUUUUCCUGAAAAAUUUUUAUUCAAUUUUUGAUAUAAUUCAAGGUAUUUUUCCCUCUAUUUCUCGAAUUUGUUUAGGUAAAAGCUUCGAUCUUGCGGGGUUAUUGCCAGAUCUGAUUUGAGGAUUAGGGUUUUGAUUUAUUAUAUGUUUGUAUAGAAUAAAUUAAAGUGUAGAUGUCUAUGCCUUCAUCUUAUUGGUGUUAUAGAUGCAAUCGUUUUGUUCGGGUCUGGACCCAAGAUUCCAUUACUUGCCCUGAUUGCAACGGUGGAUUCGUUGAAGAAAUCGAGACUCCCACUCGAUCCUCACUUUCCGAGUCUAGACGACGCCGUUUCCCCGCUGCGGCCAUGUACAUGAUGAGAAAUUCUGAUUCGGGUCAAGGUCCCCCCGGUUCCAGCUCUGGCUCCGGUUCGGGCUCUAGUCCUGCUUUACGUAGAAGCCGGAGGAACGGCGGUGACAGGUCUCCCUUUAAUCCGGUUAUAGUGCUUCGUGGGCCGGCUGACGGUGGCGGUGGGGCUGCUGGCGGUGGCGGUGGUGGUGGUGGAUUUGAGUUGUAUUAUGAUGAUGGAGCUGGUUCGGGGUUGAGACCUUUGCCUGCCAGCAUGUCGGAAUUUUUACUGGGUUCGGGUUUUGACAGGCUUUUGGAUCAGUUGUCUCAGAUUGAAGCGAAUGGGAUUGGGAGAAUAGAUAAUCCGCCCGCCUCGAAAGCUGCUAUUGAGUCAAUGCCUACUAUUGAGAUAAAUCAGAGUCACACGACAACUGAAUCCCACUGUGCUGUUUGCAAAGAGCCCUUUGAGUUGGGUUGCGAGGCCCGCGAAAUGCCCUGUAAACACAUAUACCACUCAGAUUGUAUUCUCCCGUGGCUUUCGCUGCGAAAUUCUUGCCCAGUUUGUAGACAUGAGUUACCAACUGAUGCUCGUGAUUCAGGUGAAUCGAACAGAUCAUCUAAUGAGCAGACUGGAGUUGGAAAUGAUGAUGACACUGUUGGUUUAACUAUUUGGAGAUUGCCCGGUGGUGGCUUCGCGGUUGGGAGGUUCUCGGGUGGGAGAAGAAAUGGGGAAAGAGAGCUCCCAGUAGUUUAUACUGAGAUGGAUGGUGGUUUUAAUAAUAAUGGGGUUCCUAGGAGGAUAUCUUGGGGUUCAAGAGGGGGUGUUUCCCGGCAAAGUGGAGGACUGAGGAGGGCAUUUCGAAAUUUGUUUGCCUGUUUUGGUGGUGUUGGUGAUAGUUCAUCAGGUUCUAAUUCAAGUUCAGAUUCAAGGGUAACUCGGAGAAAUAGGUCAUUCUCAUCUGUUUUUAGCUCUGGAACAACAGGGCGUAGAUACUGGGCCUUUGAUAUUAACGGUGGGAAUCGAAGAUGGUAAAUUUGGAAGGUAAUUUAAAAGCAAGCUGAGUGGUGAUCAUCGGGGUGUGAGGGGUCCUCUGGUCUUUUAUGGAAUGGUCUAAUUUGCUGCAAGUUGUAAAUAGCCUAAUAUGCAAUGAGGCCGGUUUAAUUUUUCAUUAUGCCAGUGAUGCAUUGAUGAUGGUUAAUAUACUGGCAGAAGGAGAUAGGAACAAGAUCAAAACAAUGGCAGAUGAUCGUCAGAGGAACACUCUAUUGUUUAAAUUGGCUCCUUGGAAUGUGAAGGUACACGGCUUCAUGUACCACAGUGCCUCUGAACGUUAGAGUUAUGGAAGUCAUUUCCUUUAAUUGUUUCCCUCUGUUGUUUUUCCUUUGCCAUGUAGUUUCUCUUAAAUUGGUGUUUGUUAUAUCAGUUCUUUUUCCCUGGGAAACUCCAAGUUAUAUUCAACAUAUGAACCUUGAAUGAGACGGAAGUAUGAUUAUUUGUAGAUGGAAACAAGUUUCAUGUGUCUUAAAUUGUUCUUCCAAGAAUGAAAUGCGCUUAUUGUAGCGAGACCUCACUUGUAUUUGAAAACUUGGAAUUUUGCCUCCCCUAGUUGGUGGAGUAGCAUUCUGAGGAUCGUUUCCUUUGUUCUAUUUGCAUCAAUAGAUAAAAAAUACAGAUAUCAAAAUAAAAAUUGCAAAAAGGGGACAGCUACCAUUCUUUUAAUUUCCUGAUUUCAAGCAUUGCAAUAUUUCUUUUCUGUUACUUUUGAGUAUGGUAACAAAUUUAUACUAGUCCCAUUUGGCUAUUAUCGUGAAUUAGAAGAAGUUUUCUGAUAUUGAGAAAUCUUCUGAGACAGGCUGCGCAGUAUGUAUGUCCGAGGAUUAUGCAUAGUUUGCUACUUGUAUUCAUUUCUUAAACUGACAGGUCUAGUCCGUAGGAAAUUCUGCAUUCUGCAUUUUUGUUCUUGAUAAAAUGCACCAGUCACUAAUGUUCUUGUUGUUGCAUUAAGUUGUCAAUUAUCUGCAUUACAGAGGCUUUAGGUGUCGACACAAUGUUUUACUCAUUCAUUGUGCAUAAUGGUCAUUAGCUUCUUAGUAUUGGAUUUUUUAUAUUGUAAUAGUUAUUAUAUACCAAUAUCAAACUCAAAGAACAAGUUGUCCAAUGUACUGUCUGUUUUGCUUGGCCUGGUGAGAACAUGAUAGAUUUUUCGAGUUCCCUCACUGGCUUGAGUUUAAGACGUUUUUGUCAGGUUCAGUGGAGUUAGAGAAGUAGUCAAUGAUUAAGUUGUUGAAAUUUGGUUGGUGCAAUGUCAUUAAAUCUCUCUCUCUCGCCUCUCCACCCUCUCUCUCUACACACACACACACCCACCCACCCAUGUCUGUACUUUUUUGGGGGGAGGGCAUCUUUUUAGGGUAAUUUUAGGUGAGCAGUUUUCACUUUUCUACUUUGAGAAGUGCACACAAGAUUGGAAAAUGGCACUGGUGUUAUUUCGUAUCUCUUAGUCUUUUUGGUUGUGCAGGUAUAGAUAAUGUAACUCAGGGUUAUGAAAAUGACAAAUGCACACAAGAUUGGAAAAUGGCACCAGUGUUUUUUGGGAAGUUAUCUGUUAUUGAUAUAUUGGGCUCUGAGUUCCAUGUUGAGGAGCCCAUUACUGCAGUUUCUACCGAUUUGGUACCCACUCUGGAAAGAUAGUUGCAGAUCUUAGGAUCAGGUCACUAGCAGGCUGGUGUAGUUUUUAUAUAUUUUAAAAAGAAAUUAAUGAUUCAGAGUUCUUAGAGCUGAGCUCCCUGUAAGGCUUGUUGGAAAACCCCUUGUCCAACUUUGUUAAUUGUCCUUUUGCUGUUCAAACUGAAUACUUUUAUUCAUUUUUGCCUUAUAUUGCAUGUGCUAUGCAUCUAAUGAAAUUGUCAUUGGCAAUUGAACUUUUUGUUUAGCGCACCUCAAUCAUAGUCUAGAAGGAUUAUUCAUCACUCUGUUACAUUAAUAGGGAUGUUUGUGGGGUUACUGGUCUUUGAUGUUGCAACUGAGAAUAUUUCACUGCAUAUCCACUUAGAAUUAUCUUGACAUGUUUGUUGUGAUUGGAGUAAUUUUCUUGUAGUCUGUCAUUUUAGAAUCAAUGAGGGAAAUGGAAGGAAAGUAGCUUCGACAUGAUGAGUUAAUCUCCAAUGGUUUUGCCCUCACAUAGAUUUCCCACAGUUGACUGUCAGAAAUUUUUGUCUUGCUUGAACACGAAAUCCCUGGUUAUUUCUGCCUUUUUGGAGAGUUCCAAGGAUGAAAACUUUUCAUGAAUGUUUCCCUGGUUAUAUUGACAUGUAUGAAAAAACUAAAUUUCAUGAAUGUUGCUAUCUCUUUGCCCUUUUAUUUUUUCUUAUUAUUAUUAUUACUUUUUUUAAUUUUCCCUGGUGGAUAGACUAAGAGAUUUUUAGCCCAGUUAAAGGUUUUAUGUGCAACAACAUGUUACUGGGACAAACCAAAAAGGAUUUUGCUAAUUCCUAUUAUAAUUUGGUCGUCAGAUGAUAGUAGCUUAAUAGUUGGUGGCAACGACAACCACAAGUCAAACUUGAUGCAUAGCUGGCUGUUUAAGAAAAUAAAGAGUUGAUAACAAAAUUGUAUUGUUGAAUCAACAAACUCCUUGACGUGGGGCAUUGGUUUCAAAGUACACGGUUAAAUUUUGUUUUGGCAUUUUCUCAAUUUUCCUUUAUAAUGGCAGGGAGGGUUUUGCUUUGUCAUUGUCGUCAACCUUGUGCUCUCUCGUAUUGUGCAUUUACGAUGGUACAUGUAUGAAACUCUAGUAGGGUAGCACAAAUUGUAUAAUCCGGAGAAUCAGCAAUAUAGCCGCUCAGAUGAUUGUGCGGACCGUCAAAUGCAUCGGUUUAGGUUUAGUAGUAGAUACACUUGGAAGUUUUCUUGUAGGAGGAAUUGGCUCAUAAAUAUGUCCAUUUAGAUUUGCCAACGUAAGCCCUGGUUUUCUGUCUUGAGAUGCUUUGUAAGCUAAUGGAUUUGCAUAAGAUGCUUUUAACACGAAGAAUUUAUGAUGGUAAGUCGCAUAUGUGUAGUAUUAAAGAUAUUGCAGGCUUGAUCAUGGUGUGAAGUCUUGAUUAUUCUUGAUCAAGAUCAGGUUGCGUGUACUUCGCUCAGUUUCUUUUCCAGAGAUUAUUGUGAAUUACUUUUUCAACUGGGCUUCUUAAAUGGUGCUCCUUUGUUCGUGGCUCUACAACUGAGCAAACGAGAACAAAGCUGCAUGACUAUUUGUUUGUACCUGUUAGAGGUGGCAAAAUGGGCGGGAUGGGCGGGAUUUGCUUGGGUUUGAGAUGGAACCGAGUCAUAUGGGUUUGGGCCCAACCUUACCCAUAUGUGUUUUGGGACUAACUUGGGCGGGAUCAUUUUGGGAUGGGUUUAGAUUGAUCCCGCCCAAUACCCAAAUCCAUUUUCUACAUAUUUUUUUUCCUUUAAUUCAUUUUUUAUUUUUAUAUAAUUUUAAUAUUUUUGAUUUAUUAAAUUUCUUUUAGUUUUAUUAAAUAAACAUGUAAGUGCUUUAUACUCAAGAUUCCACCAAAAAUUGGAUUAACAAAUAAAGGAAAAGAUAGAUAUACAGCCAUAUUCCAACAUAUAUCAAGAUGGCCAAGGUCCUUAGGAUGUUGAAUAUUUAUCCUUAUCAUUGUCCAAGGAUGACAGGUCUAAACUAACUGAAAUGCUGGAAAUUCUUGUGGAUAAUGACUAGGAAGACUACUAGAUUAUAUUCGCUGGUAUGACUAUAAAAAUUGUUAAAGAUAAUUUUUGAAUCUAAGAUUCCGUUUGGAUUGACUUUUUUUUCAAAAAAUAAGUUUUUCAAAUACAAUGUUACAGUAAUAUACAAUAACUCAAGAAACAUCCCAUCCAUAUUAAUAUAUCAAAUAUUUCAAAAAAAUUUUAUAGUAAAAAAUUUUCAUAUACACUGCUACAAUAAAAUAUUUCAAAAACACCUACCAAAAACAGCUAAUCCAAACGGAGCCCUUGCCAUUUGAGCCCAAUGGGUACCCAAGUAUUUCCCAUCCUUUCCCAUUCAUUAAUGGGUAUAGUUGGGAUGUGUCCCAACUUAAACCCAAUACCAAAUUAUAAUACCCAUCCCGCCCAAAGUUCCUUUGGGCAUGGGUAGCCCAUUGGGACUUGGGACAAAUUGCCAGCUCUAGAAGGCACUAUCUAGACAGCUUCAGAUGACUGAGAAUCUAGCUGAGUCACAAAAUUCAUCAAGAAGAAGUUGAUUUCUUUAUUGAAUUAUGAUUAUAAUCAAUUAUAGAGCCUUGCAGAGAUUGGGGGAAAAAAAUUUUGCCUCCUCCAUGAGCAACAAGUUGUUUAAUCAAAGCAUUAAUAAUUGAUUCUCGUGGGAUUCAUGUUUGGUUUUUGCGGACCCACUAAUUAUCUUAAAGAAAACGCGUUGGGGAUUAACACGAAUCAAUUUGCCGUCACGCUUUGUGCGCAUCAAUCUUAAUCCUAACCAGUGGCUUUGAUCGUGAGAUCACAACCAAUUCUUUGUUCCCUUACGUUGACUCAAUCAGUUUGGUGUCCUACAAAUUCAUCAAUCAAAUCUUGCGUGCUUUUCAAUGACACGAACAAGGCUCCUUUUUUUUUUUUUUUUUUUAAUAAUCUUUAAAAGAAGAGUAUUUAAUCGGACAUAAUCCAACUGGAAACCUAAUUUGAAGACCACCCGAAAAAACAAGUGCAGGUUAAUCGAAUCAUAUACGAAAACAAUCUUGGUUGUUUAUAUCUUAUUAAUCUGCAGAUUAAGGUUUAUAAUUUGGCUGGACGCUACAAAACUAAAUGAAUAAACAUAGCAUACAACAGCGUAUGCAUAAUUUUUAACUUUUGUAGUUUUAUACUGUAAAGUUUGAAUUGUCCAUUUUUGCAUAAUGUAAAAUGUGCGCCUUGUUUGGCUUCGUUCAAUCUGAAUAGGAUUAAUUUUUCCUACAAGAGCUCGAAAAAAAUUGUAGGAAAACUAUAUGAGUGGAAUUUCGCUUAAUAUAUGAGGGGCAAAAUCCCGCGGUGCAUUUUUAAAGAAAAAAUCGACUACUUUCAUUUACUCUCAUCUUUUCUAAUACAUAUAUAUACACACACAUACACAUACAUAUUUGAUGUUUUCUUUUUUUUUUUUGAAAAGAAAGAAGAGAAGAAACCAAUAAAACUUUGCGUCUGGCCGCCUGUAAUAUAUCAACACGUGGGUAGCCUAAAAUUCAAAGCAAGCUCGAAAGCCAUGAAAGAGCAGCGCAAAAACAACAGAUUCUUGAAAAUGAAAGUUAUGAAAUGGAGAAACAUCACCCGAUUCAUGAGAAUGAGAUGCUGCGAAUUUCUGGUUGUCCGGUUCCUCUCCGUCUAUAGUACAGUUGUUGUUGGAAUGCAAAUCACCGAAAUGAUUGUAGAAAGCUUCCAUUCAGCGGUGGAAAAUGCUGAGCCGUCAACCACAAACAGUAUUUAUAUGGAUGCGGAUGGUGACGUUCGUAGGUUCCAUGCGUUGGAAUCUAAUCUUCUUAGUAGUAACGUAAAAUCAAGGCAACUGUUGCAUGAUUAUAACCCACGUCUGCAGUUGAUGUUAAAUCGUCUUACUACUAGUUGAUGAUUAUUACUAUAGCAUCCAAGGCCCCAUUGCCGCCAAGCUAUCGAGGAUUAUUCAAAAUCAAAAUUUAUAAUUAGUUAAAAUAAUUAAUUAAAAACAAAUUUAUCGAGGAUUUGUAAAUUCCAAGCUUUGUAAAAAAGGCGAAAAGGAAAAGAAAGAAAAAAAGCUCAUUUUUUCAUUGCGGAAAGAAGGUCUUGGCAAAUCGCACGUCCAAAAAUUGGUGGUAUUAUUGAAAAGGAUGACAUAUGAGAAGUCGGAGGGACAUAAUUGAGCGUGGCAUGAAGGAAAAGUCCGGAUGCAAAAAUGCUUGAGUUCAAAUCUAGAAAAAACAAUUGUGGAUGAGGCUCGAAUGCUUGAGUUCUAGAUACAAUUACUUCACCAACAAAGAAUACAUAUAUUCUAAACUUAAACAGGUAUAAUCUAAUACGGAGGAUUCCUUAAAAUGAAGGCAAAAGACGCUCAACGGCCUGAAUAUUCAAUUAUCUCGAUUGGCUGGCUCAAACUGGCGGACAAAAAGUCUCCGGUCUCCGUGUUUACCGAGACUUGGAAUAGUUUUUUUUUUCUGUCUGUCGCCAUCAUCAGCGUAAGACGGAAGAAUUUAUUUAAUGAAUUCUCCCUUUCUUUUUCUGUUCACGUCGAUCCCCGUCUGUAAAAACUUUGCUGGUAUUAUCAGAAAACUAUCUGUUUGGAUACUUCAGUUUUUCAAAAACUAAUUUUUUAAAUAUUAUAAAAAUUUUUUAAAAAUACUCUAAAAAGUAGUCUAAUUUUUUUAAAUAUUUUAAAAAUAUCUCAAAAUAUAUUUUAAACACUUUACUACUCUUAAAUAUUUCAAAAUAAUUUUUAAAAAUAUCUCAAUAUAUAUUCUAAAAACUAUACUACAGUAAAUUUUUUUUAAAACAGCUCCCAAAAACAGCUAAUCCAAACAGAGAUUUUAAAAUAUGACCAUAAGCACCUUAUCCGUGCCUUUGCCAUCUUGAGAUACUAGUAAGCAUGGUCAGAGUACGACUACCAAGAAUGUGUUACACUAACAUGAAUAGUUGUAUGUUAAUAUAUCUCAAUUUGAAUCUACAUUCUAAAUUUUGCAUGCGUCACGCAUCCAUAUUCGUUAGUAUAUAAAAUGGUGGUGCAAGAGGAUAACUUCAGCUAUAACUGUUUGGAUUAAUGGUGUAUACAUUAACAAUAUACACAUUAAUACCUUUGAGUGUAUGUUAUAUGUACCAAAAAAAUAAAGUUUAAAUUCAAAUUAAAAUUAAAUAACAUGUAUCCAAAAGCUAGUGCACACACUAUCACUAUCAAUGUAUACAAGAUUACUCUUAGUUAUUUAUUCAGAACAAGAUUUCUAGAUUUAAAAUUUUCAAACUAGGAAAGAGAAUAAAUUCAAACAAUUAGAAAGUAAAUCACAUAAAAAAUUAGUAAAUCACCACAUCCGCUUACGAGAAAAAAAAUGAUUAAAAGAAUUACCAAAUCUUAGAGUUGCCUUUCCCUGCAACAGGGUGGGUGUCGCCUUUUUGCUUGGAAGACUUUAACGAAGACCAAAACAUCACAGACUUCCAAGUUAGCAAUUUCCAAAACCAAACGCAAAGCACACGAACUCCUUUGCCUUCCCUAAUCCCUAUCCUACAUCUGCCUAUUUUAGUGGGACACUCCAAACAAAGAACCAACAACUGCCCUAAACCCAACUACACAACAGUAAUACCGUACCAUCCUACAUAUAUAUAUUCACAAGGAACCAUGCCCGCAAUUAGCCUUAUUAUACCACCACCAUCAACCUUAACCAUACCACCUCCUUGUACGACAAGACACGACUAUCGAGACACCACCAAAGCCACCACUCUCUACGGAUAUUUUAUCCACCCAACACCUCAACCUUAGAAUUUCUUCACUUUCCGGCAACAAUAAACGUGGAAACGUAUUCUUGUUUUUGCUUUAGCCAUGGACUUGGGUAAGUUUGUAGUGCAAGUGUUAUUCUUUUGCUUUUGCAUGCUUGUGCAGUUAAAUUCGUGCUAUUGCUCCAAGAAGGAAUCAUCAGUACUUUUAACUCUCAAAGCCCAGCACAUAUCAUCAAUGUCCAUCCCUACGGCGCCCAACCGGGUCGCUUUUCACCAUAAUGUUUCUCUCACGGUUUCACUCACCGUUGGCUCACCCCCACAGCAAGUUACCAUGGUCCUCGACACAGGCAGUGAACUCUCCUGGCUUCACUGCAACAGAACACCAAACACCCUUUCCCUUUUCAACCCACAACUCUCUACUUCUUACUCGCCCGUGCCUUGCUCCUCACCCACAUGCAGGACCCGCACACGGGACUUCACUGUGCCCGUUUCUUGCGACCCGAAAAACCUCUGCCACGCUAUUCUCUCCUAUGCCGACGCCUCCUCCGUGGAGGGAAAUCUUGCUACGGAUACUUUUGCAGUUGAUAAUUCGAGCAUGCCCGGCUUGGUAUUCGGGUGCAUGGACUCCGGUUCGAGUUCUACCCCGGAAGAGGAUGCCAAAACAACCGGGUUAAUCGGCAUGAACAGGGGGUCCUUAUCUUUUGUUUCCCAAAUGGGUUUCCGGCAAUUCUCUUACUGCAUAUCGGGUCGUGACUCGUCGGGCGUGUUGCUCUUCGGGGCAGCCAAUUUUCCGUGGCUUGGGCCUCUGAAGUACACGCCAUUGAUACAAAUGUCUACCCCUUUACCGUAUUUCGACCGGGUUGCCUACACGGUUCAACUCGAAGGGAUUAAGGUUUCGGAUACGGUGCUGCCGUUACCGAAGUCGGUAUUCGUGCCCGACCACACCGGGGCAGGUCAAACAAUGGUUGACUCGGGCACCCAAUUUACAUUCUUACUCGGCCCGGUUUACACUGCACUAAAGAAUGAGUUCGUGAAGCAAACCAGGGGCGUCCUGAGGUUAUUGAACGAGCCAAAUUUUGUGUUUCAAGGGGCCAUGGAUUUAUGUUAUCUAGUCGAGUUGAGUCGUGCAACUUUGCCGCCAUUGCCUGCUGUAGCGCUGAUGUUUCAAGGGGCGGAGAUGAGUGUUGCAGGGGAGAAAUUACUGUACAAAGUUCCAGGUGCAACGAGGGGAACUGAUGGAAUCUACUGUUUCACGUUUGGGAAUUCCGAUUUGCUGGGGAUAGAGGCGUAUGUGAUUGGGCACCAUCACCAGCAAAACAUAUGGGUGGAGUUUGACCUUGCACAGUCCAGACUUGGAUGGGCAGAGGUUAGGUGUGAUUUGGCAAGUCAAAGGCUAGGCCUGGGUCAUUAGUUUUGACUUUUUAUGUCUUGGUUCUACUUUUAGUUAUUGCUAAUAUGAUAGAGUAGCUAUCCCAUUGGGCAUGGGAAUGGUUGUAGUAGGUCUAGUUUGAUAUAUUUAUUUAGAUGGAUAUCUUUUACUAGUUUUUUUCAUUUGUUUUUUUGUGGUUGUGUAAUCCAACAUAGGCCAAUCCCUAGGUUACCUCCUCCUUGGCAUGUAAUUAUGGGAGUACAAUUGUAAUGACCGAUUGAUAGGACUGUGAUGUGAAGGAGUUUUCAUUUUGACAAACGGAAUCUGCAAUUGUGUGAAAAAUAAAUGGACACAAUUUCUUGAGCAUUAAUUGCAAACUGAGUUGAAACCAGUUCAAUCAUCAAUGUCAAUUUUGGUUUAGUUUGGUUUUUGACAAAAAAGGAAUUCUCAGUUUCGUGAAAAUUGAUGCAACUUCUUGUGCAUUAAUUGCAACUAAGUUGAGGCCAGUUCAAUGGCAAUUUGAUUUAGGCACAUUUUAGUUUUGGUUGAGAAAAUUGGAGAGAAAAAGAAAGAAGAGGAAUUGGAGGAAUUCGGUGCUUGUUGUUUGGAUUGAUUUUUGAGGGCUAGAGGAAAUAGAUAAAGAGUGAAAAGGUUUAAUGUUUUGCUGCGUUAUGGUUUUUGUUCGAAAGCGGGCCAAAACUAAGGCAAGUGAAACUAAAUUAAUUUAAUUUUUUAAAGAUCAUUUUUUUCUCUUUCUUUUCCAGUAAAUUAACACUUGAUCUUUUUCUUCUCAAUUCAAACAAAAAUUCAAUAUUUUCUUUUUUUCUUUCCAUACUUCAUUAAAACAAAAAUUAUGGAAAUCAUUUUUCUCUACUCUCCUUUCCUUUCUUUUCCAUUAAUAUCCUUUCCCUUUCUUUCAUUCAAUCCAAACGGUGCCUAGUUUGGAUUUUUGACAAAUGGGAAUUUACGAUAGUGUGAAAGGUGGUUCAAUUUCUUGUGCAUUAAUUACAAAUUAAGUUGGAGCCAGUUCAACAACAAUUUAAUUUAGUUUGAAUUUUGAUAGAAGAAAUCUGCAAUUGUGUGACAAUUGCUGUUGUUUGUUGUGCAUUAAUUUACGAGUUAAGUUGAAACCAGUUCAUUGGCAAUUUGAUUUAUUAAAAAAGUUUUAUACUAAGGGACAUACAACUGCUUUUGUUGUGCAUUAAUUUACAAGUUAAGUUGAAACCGGUUAAUUGGCAAUUUGAUUUAUUAAAAAAUUUUCUACUAAGAGACAUACGACUUGUAUGACAGACACAAACUAAAUAAUGCAGUUUGGUUUUUAGAUAUUUGUUACAAUUUUGUCGCCGUACACGUUACUUUUUUUUACUAGGAAUUUAAAAAAUUUGUGCACCAGAUGUGCUUAAAUAUUAUAAUACUGGGUUUUAAAUUUAUUUUUGUCCAAAGUUUGAGUACCAAAAUCGCGAAUAAAUUUGAGUACCAAAAUAACGGCUAAAGUUUAGAUAUCAAAACUGCAAUCUAGUUUUCUGAUGUUUAGGAAUUCUCCAAUUUCCCAUAUUUGUAUCUAUUUUUUUUUUUCAUGUCUGGAAGCUAAUCCCCCAGAUUGGACAGAGUUCUGCCCCAAAGAUACCCAACAAUGGUAGCACGUGAGGGCUAAUCCCCCCAGGUUGGGCUAUUGUUUAGACAUAUACCUUGUUUUUAAUCGUUUUUUUAGGUGGACUCUUGACGUUAUAUUUGUUGCAUCUUUCUCAGUUCUUCAUCAAUCGUCUGACAAUAACAUUAACGUUUGAAGCUCAUUGUACAUGUGUUCUUUAAUUCCUAACUGUAAGUCUUAUGUCUGUAACAUUAACGUUUCCCCAACUGUAGAAGUUCAUUGUAUAGGUGUUCUUUUGCGGUAAUACCAAUUCGUGCUUGGGUUAAUGACUUUCGGGAAUGGCGUUUAUCAAUUGUUUUGCUCAUUGACAUAAAAUUUUGCACCCAUAAUUGGCUCGUUAAUGCCUCUAGUUUCAACUUAUUCCUACUUCCAAUCCCGUACACUGCCUUGGGUCGAGGUUGGUAGAUUUGGGUAUUAUUACAUCGUCUAUCAAGUCAUUCGUCUAACGUACUACUUCCUAGUUUGUUGUGCCACUCUUAUUUUGAUGUUAACUGGCGAGUCCACGUCUGUUGUUAGUUCUUAAUGCUGGUUUUUGACUUUGAAAAUCCCAGUUGGCUAACAUCUAGACUCAGUUGGUGGUUCAGUCUCCACCGAUUCCUCUAGACUCAAUUGAAUCUCCCCCUUAAAUUAGAAUUUGUUACAAAGUUUCAUUUUUUUAAAUAUAUUUUCAUGUGUCCGUAAUUAUAACAUUUUACUAUUUUUAAAUUCCUCUAUAGAUUGUAAUUUUUUUCAAAAAUGUAAUCUACUGUGCGUAGCACAGGUAUUUAUACUAGUAGUAUAAGAUUGACAAUUGAUAAAAAAAAAAAAAAUUUAAUUUUGGCUAACAUCUAGACGCCGUAACACCCCAAGAAUGAUUUGCUUAUUCCUCCGUCACCUUCACCAAUCUCGUGCCGGGAAACUUCUGAACAUUAGCUGUCAGCCACCGUACU